rnacentral:lncRNA from 1 species
AACCGAGGGAUUGUUUCCCUCUGUCGUUCCUGUGAAAACCGAGAGAGCGAGGGAAUAUUUUCUUCUUUUUUUUUUUGCUCUCGGUUUGGAUGAAAUAGCCGGGAGAUGGAAGUGCUAACAUGGCGUUCACCUGACGGCAGCCCACGGGAACUGAGGCCCUGAUGGAACGGGGCUUUGGCAGCAGGGGCAAAACCCAACCUUGCUCUGAUACCAAGUUAGUGUAGAACCAAGUCCGGGAAGGCAGACUUCAGUGGAUACGAUGUACUCACGUUGCAAUUUUAAAUCAGGAACAGAAGAAGAGGGAGAAGAGAAGGAGGAAGAGGAAGAAAAGGAGAAGAGGAGAAAGAGAGGAGGAGGAGACGUGGGGAAGAAAAUUGUUAAUCUUUCAUUAACCCUAAUCAACAUAAAAGUUCCCUAUAAAUAGGGCCCAAUAAGAACAAUUAAAAUAAAACCCCUUACACAAAAAUAAUGCCCAAUAAACCCACAAAUAAGCCCUAAAAUGCAAAUAAGCCCAGAAAUAAAAUAAACCACAAAUAAACCCUAAAAUGCAAAUAAACCCAGAAAUAAAAAUAAACAAAUAUGCAAAUAAAAUGGGGACCUAGCUGAUGUCCCCAUCACUUUGAAGGUUGAAAAGAACUUUGAGCCCAAUGAAGUAACUUGGCUGAACAAAACCUCUAGACUAGUAAGGCCCUAUUUGGGGGAACUGUUGGCAGUAGAGCUGUUGGAAGUAGAGCUGUCUGAAGUAGAGCUGUUAUAAAAAGUUGUUUGCUGUUUGGUAACUAUAUUCGUAAAGUGCUGUGGUAUUUUGUUUUGUGUUUAGUAAACAAACUGAGAAAGUACUUUUGUAUGACAAAAUUACCAUAAAGGAUAUUGCAUAGUAUUAUACAACAGAACAUAAUAAAACAUAACAUAAAUUAAUACAAAAAUAUACGAUAUAGUAUAAUAUUAUUGUAAUAUAAAAUAAUAUUAUGUUAAUAUAGCAUAAUAGUAAUAUAAUUAUUAGAGUAAAUUAAUAUUUGGAUAUAUAACAUGAUAUUAAAUUAUUUAACAUAACAUAUUAAUGUAUUAUGAUAUAAUGUAAUAUAUAUUAUAUUUAUAGUAUAAUACAAUAAUAAAAGUAUAAAAUAUUAUAAUUAUUAGUAUAAAUUAAUUUCUCAUAAUAUAACAUAAUAUUAAAUUAUUUAAAAUAACAUAUUAAUGUAUUAUAAUGUAAUGUAAUAUAAUACAAUAUUUAUAGUAUAAUACAAUAAUAAAGGUAUAAAAUAUUAUAAUAAUUAUUAUAAAUUAAUUUUUCAUGAUAUAACAUAAUAUUAAAUUAUUUAAAAUAACAUAUUAAUGUAUUAUAAUGUAAUGUAAUAUAAUAUAAUAUUUAUAGUAUAAUACAAUAAUAAAGGUAUGAAAUAUUAUAAUUAUUAGUAUAAAUUAAUUUUCCAUAAUAUAACAUAAUAUUAAAUUAUUUAACAUAACAUAUUAAUGUAUUAUGAUAUAAUAUAAUAUGAUAUUAUAUUUAUAGUAUAAUACAAAAAUAAAGGUAUAAAAUAUUAUAAUUAUUAGUAUAAAUUAAUUUUUCAUAAUAUAACAUAAUAUUAAAUUAUUUAACAUAACAUAUUAAUGUNNNNNNNNNNNNNNNNNNNNNNNNNNNNNNNNNNNGUAUAAUACAAAAAUAAAGGUAUAAAAUAUUAUAAUUAUUAGUAUAAAAUAAUUUCUCAUAAUUUCUCAUAAAAUAAUUUUCCACGGUACAGGGGCUCUUCUUCAUGGUCCACGCUCGAGGAGGACCUCAGCGUGGGCCGCGAGGUUGAUGAUAAAAAAAACAAUAGAUUGAUUUUGGAAGGUAUGGAGAAGGAUUAAAAUUUUUUUUUCUAAAAUGUGGUUCAAGAGAUGCAUACAAAAAUUGAAAAGAAAAAUACCUUUUCUUACGGAAGGGAGUCUGACGGCUAGGGUUCUUGGCUCUAGUAGAUUUUUAAGUUUAUAAAGGGACAAACUAUGUAAUUAUGUUAUUUUAAUAUAGGCAUUUUUGUCAAAAAUACAGCUUUCCGAAAAAGCUGAAACAGCUUCCUCCCAAAAGCUCCAAAUUGGAGCUUCCUUCCAAAAGCUGCUUUCAGCUUCCCGCAAAAGCUGAAACAGCUUUUUGAAAAAUUUACCAAACACAGUUUUUCAUCUAAAAGUACUUUUGAAGGGCCAGAGAGUGCUUUCUGGCCCUCCAAAAGCUCCCCCAAACAGGGCCUAAGUCUAGAAGCUAGUAACUCCAUUUUCAUUUUUUCAAAAUUUUGAAAGAGAUUGCAUAUCAUGAAACCUGUAUAUAGAUUCUAUAAAAUCAUCUUUGGGCAUGGUGUUUUAUAUAAGGACUUGAGUUUUGAAGUAUGUAUUUAUGCUUUAGUGUGAGGGUGCAUUAUAUACACAAAUCAAUGGAAAUUCAUAUUUCAUAUAUACAAAAAAAUGUGUUUAUUUUUCUCCAAAAAGAAAUUUGUAUGGUUUUGGUAAAGAGUGUUCACUUUGUAUGUACACACAUAUAUAUCCAUACCUAUAAAUUCUGAGUGUAUACAUGUAUUUGAUGUCUUUUAUUAAGCAAAGGGAACAGAGAACCCCCGCCAACCCCUCUCUUUCUCCUUCCUCUUCCUCCCAAGUCACUUUCUACAAGAAGUUAGAACUUGACAAUGCAAGGAUAAAUUUUCUCUAAGGGAAUGAUAAUGAUGCAUGCUAGAGAAGUCUUAAAAUCAUCUAUAUUUACUUGUUUUAAUUUGAUUAUGUUUUCAUAAUUAAUAAAAAAAGAAAAAAUAAUAUGUUGACAAACCAAGGAAGAUUCUUAGCAGAAUCGUUGAAUUGCAAUUCUUAAAUUAUGGACUUUUUUAUUAUUAUCAUUAUUAUUAUUAUUGUUAUUAUUAUUAUUAUUGUUAUUUUGAUUAGCUAGGCCAGUGCGUACGAUCCAAUUGAGUGAAGUUAAUUUCCUUUUAAAAAAGGUUUUAUUUUAAUCAGAACAAUUUUUGAUAGAUGUUUUAACAGGUUGGUUGAAGUCUUUAUAUCACUAUAAUCAGGUUAUCAUGUGAUUUUUGGGUGUUUACACUCUAUAAAGCUUUUUGUCACUUUAAAAGUGUUUAUUGGACAGGAAAUUUAUUUUUCUUUGUAAUAUGUCUGUUGGAAAUUUAGUAUAUAUGUCUCAUAUCUCCUGAAUUGUACAUGACGGUCAAACAUGCAAGCACAUCUAUGCAAAUUUGUGUGGGUAUGUGUACGUGUUCAUCUCUAGGCAUGUGGACGUAAUACCCAUAUACAUUUACAUGCCAAUAUUUUAUAGGGUUGCAAAAUAAUGCAUGCAGAUAUGUGUGCACGCGUGUUCUCAUGCACUUGUCCACUUGCAUCUAAAUCUAAGACUGCUUUCAUAUAAGUGUAUGUGUACAUGUAUAUAUCCACUAGAUUGAAAAUAAUGGUGUUACAGACUUCAGGACAUAGUGACAGAAAAGCUUGCCUUCAUUUAUUAAUUUCUUACAAUCUUAAGGGGCGAUUUAGUUUGAUCUUUUGGUUACCCAGGUUCUGGAAAUUUGUAACUAAAAUCUGGCUAUCAAGAAAGAGAUGAUAUCAAGGCAGAGAUGAGGAUCUUUAGGCAGCUCUAGAAUAUAUUUUUCAUGAUGGUUUAUUGGAAAUUUUUGCAUUUGAGGAACUUUGGGAGUUCCAGCAAAGGUGGAUAGAGUGGUAAAGAGUCGCUUGUGGUGGUUCUAUUGUGUGCAUUGAAGGCAGAAAUACCUCAUCUUUUUGGCUUAUAACUUAGAAGCUGAUGGGAUUUAAAAACAUUUGAAGAGAAGAUGAGUAUGAAUUUACAUAAUGCUAUUGGAUCAUACAUAUAUUUAUGAUGAUACCAGUCUUAAAUUUCUAUAAAUAUUAAGCUUUAGUGCUCAUCACCAUUGAGGAUAAUAACCUAGAUCAAAUUUCCUAUAGUUUGGGCAAUAGAUCAAAUUUCUUUCCACCUUACAGUUGUUUAAGAACAUAAAUUUUAAUGCCCUUUUUCUCCUGUAAAACUUAGUCCUGUCUUCAUUCCUAGUAUCUUGGUUGCAGUGUUUAUUAGUUUUUUUAAGUUGUGGCAUCAUGCUUGUACUCUUUCAUGCUUUUAAUGAUGGAUAGCCUAGGUGUUUCUUGGAGUAUCUUAUUUGAUCUUAAAUUUAGCUUCUUCAUAUUGUUGUUAGGCUAUUACAUUGAUAGGAAAGGAGGAAGGUAUUAAAGGCUAUUGGAAAGGCAAUCUUCCCCAGGUUUCUGACAUCUGCUACCUCUCCGGCUGCAUCAAAUGCUCUCAUUUAUCUUUUCCUGGUCUCAAUAUGUGUGAAUCAUUUUCAGGUGAUACGCAUAAUUCCAUACAGUGCUGUCCAGCUUUUUGCUUAUGAGGUUUACAAGGUAAUGGAAAUUCCUUUAAUAUAAUACAAUCUUCUGAGGUUUCACUUAGUCUGUGAUAUCUUGUUUGAGCUUAAUCUUUGACAUGCAAACUUUUCUGUUUAAAAUUUUGGCUUUCAGAAACUUUUCAGGAAAAAAGAUGGGGAACUCUCUGUAGUUGGGAGGCUUGCUGCAGGGGCUUGUGCUGGGAUGACCUCCACACUUGUGAGUUUUAUAUGAAGACACAAUUUAAUCGUGUGCAGAUGUGCUUUUGUAUGUGUGAAUAGGUCAGUCUGGGUGUUCAAGUAUGUGGUUGUAUAGGUGGGCUUGCUGGUGGGUGAUUGUAUUAGACUUUCUGAUAUUGUUUUGCCUCCUGCAAUAGAAUGCAUUUACACAUGUAACAUUACACACGGUAUGCAAUAAUUUGAACUUAUUUGACACUCUUUGAUAGAUAACAUAUCCUUUGGAUGUGCUGCGGCUAAGGCUUGCAGUUGAACCUGGAUGCAGAACUAUGUCUCAGGUAAAAACCAUUAUGCUCAGUAUUCCUUUUGCCAUAGAUACAAUGACGAGUUUGUUACUUGCCAGGUUGCUCUGAACAUGCUGAGGGAAGAAGGGAUGGCAUCGUUUUAUAAUGGUCUUGGUCCUUCUCUUAUUGGAAUAGCGCCUUAUAUUGCUGUGAACUUCUGCAUUUUUGACUUGUGAGGUCACCGCCUCCAUGUUCCAUUAAUAACUUAGGAAGUCUGAUAUAGUUUCUAACGUAAAAGUGACAUUCUCCUCAUUAAUAUAUAAAUGACAGGGUGAAGAAAUCUCUUCCAGAGAAGUAUCAAAAGAGACCAGAGACAUCAAUGGCAACUGCUAUAGUGUCAGCAACACUUGCUACACUUAUGUGCUAUCCUCUGGAUACUGUGAGAAGGCAGAUGCAAAUGAAAGGCACGCCUUACAAUACUGUUCUUGAUGCUUUUCCAGGUAAGACAUGAUAUUUCUAGUUAUUACGUAGUUUAUUUGCUUUGCUGAUCCAAUGGCUACUUAGGGUGUUGACUCAUUCAAUUAAUGCUUUAUGUACAAUCUGAUGAAUUGAGAUAAUGUGUCAUUUGUUACCACUGCAUCUCAGCCCCUUCCUAGCUCAAGUGAUGGUGAGAGCUUAGAAUAGAAAUGGUGCAUGAGAUUGAUUGUGUUGGCAAAGGUUGUGAAUUCUGACCCUUUAAGGUGAUAGCAAAGAAUGACUCACAGAGCUGGCUUAACACAGACACAAAAGCUUGGAAAUGAUAUAUAUGCAUUGCUUUACAAUAGUACAAGAAAAGUGGGGUGUACAUUCAGUCAUUACGGAUAGUCUGAAUGAUGAAUCUGACUGAUUCUUUGUUGGUUAGUGUGAAGAUCUGUGCAGGCGUGUGUUUAGUUUCAAAUCGGUUAUUCGUUGGAUAGAUCUUGGAUACUUAUAUAGGAUCAAGGAACCCAAAUAAAAUCUUCAGACUAGCCAUUUUGGGUGAGAUCUUGGAUUGUUACAAAUGGUAUCAGAGCAGACCCCACCCAUAAUCUAUGUAGACUAGGGAACACUACAGCACGGAUCCAUUGGGGCCGACCAUAGGCCGAUUGUGAUACUUGUGAUUAGAUUUGAAUAGAUUUGAAUCCUUAGCCUAACGAGGACGUUAGAGCUUAAACGGUGAAGUAUGUGAGGAUCUGUGCAGACGUGUGUUUAGUCCCACAUUGGUUAUUCGCUGGAUAGAUCUUGGGUGCUUAUAUAGGAUCAAGAAACCUAAAUGAUAUCUUCCAGCUAGCUAUUUUGGGUGAGAUCCUGGGUUGUUACAGUUAGAGUUGACAUUAAACUUGAUUGUUGGCUAGGUGGCUUGAGGAAUAAAAGCUAAAGAUGUCUCAUCUUCUAAUUUGUAUGACUUAGAAGCUUAAAAUAGGGUCUAUAAUUUUAAUAGCACCUUCAAGUCAAUGACAAGCUAAUGGCACACCCCUUUUAAUCAAAUUUCCAUAUUCACCAUCAAUAUUUUCUUGAUAUGGCUUUGCCAUGAAUGCAGGUAUUGUGAAACGUGAUGGUCUCAUUGGGUUGUAUCGGGGCUUCGUCCCCAAUGCAUUGAAAAAUCUGCCAAACAGCAGGUAUAUUUCUUGUGACUGCAGGAUUAGUCUAAUCACCUGAGGAUGUUAUGACUGUAAUAUCCUUUAACUACAUCACUGUUGUGAUUUAAUAUUCUUUGGCACUCUUUGCUCAUUAACUUUUUCAUCAUGCAGCAUAAGGUUGACUACUUUUGAUGUGGUGAAAGGCUUAGUUUCUGCGGGGAGGAAGGAGUUCCAGAAACUCAUGGAGGAAAACAGGGAGAAACUUGUUAGCUGAUACACUUGGAUCAUCGCUAUCUGUAUCCUUUUAGUUUUUUAUUCUCUAGGGCUUCUUGGUUGCAUAUUUUUGGAUAGCCAUGGCUGAACCAAGUUUCAUCCAUGAGCCGGUACUGUUUAUGGUAUGUAUUUGGUGAGACUGGCUCAGGAGCUCUUGUGGAAGAAAAUUAUUCUGGACCAAUGCAUGCAUGUAGUUGACCUCGUGCAAAGAGCUCUAAGAUGGCAUAAGUGGUUCCUACAGGCUGGCUUGAUAUAGAGGCUGUGCCCUAAGCGCUUCUUCUUGCAUCCCAUCUCCGUAAGAUGGUCCGGACUGUUCAAUGGAUCGACAUUAGUGCGUGCUUGCUUGCUUGCUGCUGGACACAAGCAGUUUCCAUCGAUAUUAUUAGGUGAAUUCAUCAUUGCUCCCUUGGAACGGUAAUGGUGAAUAAUGACCAUCUGCGUUAUAAGCAACGCCCUCGUCUGAAAGGGAGCCAUCAGGCUUUGCCCGAUGUCAGGAUCAUACUACCGUAAGAUGGUGCUGGGUUUUUUCGGCGGUCAUGUUAAAAGCACGGCCUGAAAUUUUUAUGUCCGCCAAGCAUCUAAGGUCCUCUCGCCUUCUGAUGGUUGUGGAGGGUUUAAAUCUUGCCUAUGCCAAGUUUUGGGGGCUUUUCCAUCGUUUCCCCAACCUCUCCCAUCUCACCCUUCUAGUUAUAAUUUUAUAUGUGCGAUGAGGCUAUAAACAUAUAUAAAUAUCACAUAAAUAAUAUACCUUACACAAUCUGAAUUACGUUGUAAUAGACAUUUGUAUUAGCAUCUGAAAAGAAAUUUAUUAUACAAAUCGUAUGCCUUAUUAAAGUUUAUAUAAAAUUAGAAUAUGAUAACCAAUCAUCCUAGAAACAAGAAUUUCAUGACAUCAUGAGAAAUGCCUUGUCAAUAGCAUUAUUGAAUACAAUAUCCACUUAAAAAAAAAGGGAGACUCUUGCAAUAGAAAUGCAUGAGCUCUUAGCAAUAGAUACUUUUUCUCAUGGACUUAUCAAAUAUAUUGAAAUUUAAAUAUGACAGCAUGCAGAAAGCCGUUAUCGACUCUUCUGUACGGCAAGUUACAUGCAGAAAGUUAUUUGAAAAAUAAUUCUUCCAACCGGCAAAAAAAUAUCAAAUAAAAGCUCUCAACCGCCUAGGUGAUUUUUGAUAUUAUAACUUUUAUAAAAAUAUAUAAUGUAGAAAAGCAUAUAGAACUUCUUAAUACUUUUAUUGUAAAAGUGAAACUUUCAAAAAAUCUACAAAUAAAAUAGAUACAGCAGCAUUAAUUAAUAUGAGGAACAUGAGAUUAGCAUUAAUUAGAAAUUCACCACAUAUAGACAUGGAUCCAACUCAUCUUUUAGGUUAACUUCUUAUGAAGGAUUUGGCUUGGUUAAAGCUGGUUACAUACCGGGCCUCGGGCCUAAACUCUAUUUAUCUUUAAUCGGGCCUAUUUAAAAUUUGAUCUUUUUCGCCCAAGCCCAGUGCAUGACCAGCUCUACUUAGGAGGUAUCUAGAUUUUGAUCAGAUUGGAGAUAUCCCAAGCCAUAUCAAAAAAAAAAAAUUGGUAGGUAUAAAUGUCAGGUAUCUCUCAGAAAAAGAAACAAGAUACACACAAGCGUGAAAUUUUGUUUAUUAUUUAAAAGAAUCAUCUCUGCUUUGAUCAUCAUCUUGCUCCUAUCUUUCUCAUUACUCUCCUUCACUUAAUCCACUUUCCAUUCUUGCUUCUCUUUACAACUGCUAGAGUCCCUUCAUCUAUGUUAAAGAGGCAUCUAUCUCAGACAACAAUAGUAAGCAUAUGACUCCUAUACAGUAAUUAGUCAAAAAUCUUCACCUUUAUCCAACUUUCUUGGAAUAUAUUUAUAUUGAUAAUUGAACUCCAAGCUACUGCUACGUGGAUGGAGGGCGACUCCUUUACUGUCAUCAAUUGCUUCACCAGACUGAGUAAACAAGUAACGACGAUGUCUGUCCUCCUAUGGAUGAGAGAAAUCUGAUCUCAAACCUUGAUGCGUUCAUAGCAAGUCACAUUAUAAAGUAUCAAGUUAGCAGAUCAGGUUGCCAACCAUGUUGCUUAUUAUAGUAUGAAUAUCAUUUGGACUUUUAUCUUUCUUAAUUUUUUAGACUACUCGGUAAGAAAGAUAAAUUUUGAAAGUGUACAUGGAAAGCAUAUUGGACAUCUUAACUUCGGAUAGAACUGACUUUUUUUGACUUCGAUCAUACCCAAUGAAUGACUUCAUUGCACGAAGCAAUAAUAUUUUAACGUGUUUUAUGAGUGAAUAAGAGCUAGAUAAUAAUUGGAGGUUACAAAUUUUUCUUAUUACAUGAAAUAACUGUAUUGGACAAAAAUAACGAAAUAGGAUUUACCCUUUUGGUCUCUUAUUAUUUAGUUAUCUAAGUAAAACUGUUCUUGUAGAGGGAUUUCUCAUCGCUUAUCCUCUCGAGCGAACUUCGACGUAAUGAUGCGAGUGGGAUUUUCUGUGGCGGUGCGUGUUUUGCAUUGCGGAGCAACAACAUUCGCCACGCGAUGCACCACAUUUGCCGCCAAACAUGCAGCGUUCGGUUCUGGAGAGGGACGACGGUCGUCCGUCGCCGAGAAUCCGAGAUAGAUGACUUGGUUAGGCUAUCUAGGGCGGUACACGCACCGCAGAGGAUCCGAAUCCCACGAAUGCUUGGGGUGUACGUACCGGGCGCGUUAAACUUCCCCGAUCUAACAAACAAGGCGGGAGGGCGAGGGACGGGCGGGAAGGGGAGCCGAAAAGCCCGCCCAGGGCGUCGAGGCUUGAGGAGAGCCACGAACUCCCCUAUAGAUUUGGCGGAAGCUCCCCUUCACCCUCUCUCCAGUCUCCCAUACUCCUUUCUCUCAGCUGAAACGAGUGAGCGAGCGGAAUCGAUGGGAGCGGAACGAUUAGGGAAGAGGAGGAGAACACCGUUCCCCGACAGGUUUUCAAAGGAAAAGGAGAGAAAAAAGAGGAAAAGAAAAAAGAAAUCAGAAUUGGAAUAACGAGAUUGAUUGGGAGAAGAGGGAGAAACUUCAAGAAGAAGAAGAAGAGGAAGAGCAAAGAGAUAAUAAGGAUUACGUGCGAUCUCUGCUCCGCGGAACGAUCUUGCUUUUCGUAGGCUUUGUUCAAGAACCCUCUUAGACGUCACAGCCAAGAAACAAUGGAGUCCGCAGCGGCCAGGGCAAUUCUCAAUGGAAGGCAUCAGGGGAUUCGGCCCUUUCCGGAGGAGGAGGUUCUUGGACUACCCCCCAGGUGAAUCGCUUCCCGGUUCUGGGAUCGAAAAUUCUGAAGGUCGGAGUCCAGUAAACAGAAAAGAUAAAGAAUGGUACGCGUUCCUAUCACUCCCCCUCUCUGUAUAUAAUAAGUACCGUGCUUGGAAAGAUUAGCUACUCUUUCCUUUUGUCUUCAACCCAUGAUCCUGGCUUUACCGUCCUCAUCCGUCGUCUGCUUUUAGGCGGCAUUGUGGUUUCGUAUUGCAUAUUUGGCACCCUAGAGUUUUGAACUGGCCUGUCCAUACGAGGAAUCAUUUUCUUGCAGGGUAAUACGGUAAUCAUAAAAGAAAAAGUUCGGUAAGUGGAACCGUAAUUACAAGUAUUCAAGCGUGCGGAAUUCUUAUAUUUUAUAUUUCCAUUCGGGAUUACUUCCCCCUACCUUCAAUUAAUUAUAUCCCAGGAGAUAAAUGCAAGACGAUCCCUUCCGCUUUUUCUAGCUUUGGUAAUAUGAAUCAGCCAUUUCUGAGGCUUGUAGUAUGUCUAUGCUUUCAGCUGGUCUCGAGAUCCGUUUUAUCUCCAUGUCCUUGGACCGAUAAGAUCAUUCAGGUGCGGUGGUAGGAUUGUCCAAGCCAGAAAGGCACGCUAGUUUCACCCAGAAAAGGAACAGUUCACAAUAUUCUGUACCGGACAAAGCUCUUCCGAUAGAUUAUUUAUCUUUUCCAUUCUCUCCUAUAUAUAACCCAAAAGUUACAUCCUUCAACCACAUUGAAGCACUAAUUUCAAAUUCGUACUGCAUUCAUUAUCUUCAUAUUUGAGGAGGUUGGAACUGCGACUCCUCCUCUUUGGCUGCUAUUUCACAAAAUAAAGUUCUAGCUUUUAUAAGCAAUGGAGGAAAUAUUGCUUUCUUUCCUUGUAAAUAGCUGACCAUUAACGGAUAGUCUAAGGUCAUGUACAAGUGAAUAUAAAGUGGCUCUUGUCAUGAUGCAGAUUUUUGACCUGAGAUGCAUGCAUUUUAUUCUUUCACCAUUCUAAAAGGAUGCUGAGACAUUUACUUGUAGUUCUCUUUUGUGUAUUUGUUGAAUAUUAUUCACAUAAGGGCAAAUGCCCAAACCAAUUCAAGAAGAUGACUUGAUAAUGUAAGCAUUAUUUUGCCCUAAUAUUUGUUGAGAACUUGAGAUAGAUUCCAUAUAAAAAAACAGCAGCAGUAAAGAAUUUUGGAAGAAUUAAAAAGUCAAUGUUUAAUUGGAAACUAGUGAAACUUUGGAUUUUAGAAAGCUUACAAACUGUGCUUUUGAUAACAGCGAGAUGGAGAUGAUAAUGAUUUAGUGAGAAGUGAAGCGAGAUUAGUGGAUGAAGGAUCUGCAGAAACCUUGAAAGCCUAGAUAGAAGUUGGGCUUUGAAUGUUAAAGUUGUUUCAUUCUCUCAUGUAACAUAAAAUUAAAUGAAUGGAUUCCUUGGGAAUGUUUAAGGAAAAUAGAGACAAUAGUCCAAUGAUCCAAUUCGGAGGUCUUAAUAUUAGCUAAUAAACAAUGUAUGAUUCAUGCUUUAGAGCUAAACAACAUGCACAACACUAUCAAAUUAUCUGAAUCGCUAGGUAUGUUGUUCUUGCUAAUCAAAUUGGAUGCCCAUAAAUACUUUCAUGCCAAUGAGUACAAGGACAUAGCCACUACUUCAAGGUACUCAAAACUAGCACAUGGAACUAUAUAGGUAUAUUACUGGUUCGACAUAGUGCAGCCAGUACAAAGUAUGUUAUGCACGUCGUACCAACAUAGGCUCCCAGUAAUUUUUCUCAUCCAUAACUAUGGUAUGCCUGAAACCAAAUAGUAUGUUGGUACGGGGCGGUAUGGGGCGGUUCCGCUUGGUUCAGACUAGUUUAUCUUAUAAACUGAGUUCAACCUAGGAACCUUUCUGGUUCUGCACUAGUAUGGUAUGCUCUUUUAUGGAUGGUUCAGGAUGGUUCAGCAAACUAUGCACUGCUUUGUUUGUUCUUUCUAGAAAUUACAUAUGUCAUGACAACCAAGCUUUCUUUUUUUUAUUUUAACUGUUGCAGGGAACUCCAGUUAAUAUAAUUGUAGGUUCUCAUAUAUGGGUUGAGGAUCCAGCGUUAGCAUGGAUUGAUGGUGAGGUUACUAAGAUCAAUGGUGAAGAGGCCGAGACCCAAACCAGUAAUGGAAAAAUGGUAAGUUGUUGAUGACCUAUGGCAUUACUUAUGACUGAUUGAAUGCAACUUUUUCUGUCAUUUCUACCAUCAAAUUUUAUGUCUUCAAAUCCAAUCAGCUAGCAACUUUUUUGAAGACUUAAAACUACAACUAUCUUUUAGUACAGAAAAGUCAAAUUCGUGAAUUGUUAUCCACUUUGAAUGUGUUUUUUUUUAAAAAAAAUUCUUUCUAAUUUUUAUUGUUGGGCUGCGGUGUAUGUGUGUGUCCUUUCUUGGGGGGAGUGGGGGUGGGGGUGGGGGUGGGGAGGGGAGGGGAUUGGGAUAUGUUGGACUUUUUGUGUCUUGUGCUAUCUGAAGGGCCAUGGGCCACUGUAAUUGUAUAUAUUGCUAGGCUAUGAUCCAUUGUGUCACAAAAUGUUGUAUACUCUAUGUAAUUGUUUGAACAUGACUUUAACUUGGUAUAUAUGAAAGUCACUUGACACUGGCAAUAGGCAACAACAUAGUCUACAUGUUAAGCUAAUUGAGAGUAUGUGCUUAUGUUUCAUCUUCUUAUUUUUGAGGUCUUAUGAGCUACCUUAAUUGUAUAUACUGCAAGGCUACCAUCCGCUCUCAUAUGUACCAUCACUAAUGGAUUACUUAAUUAUAGUAACUGCAUCCUCAAUCUAACUGCUGUUCUAACGCCAUAUUAUAUUGUAAUGUCUACUCUGUAACUAGGUGAAAAUGACUAUGAAACUUGGGUAUAUGCAAAUGUCAUGUAGCACUGGCAAGCUGCAACUUAUUAAUUUUGUCCUAAGUAAAUUGGAAAACACAAUUUUUGCAUGGCAGAGCAGUGACAUGUAUUUCAUGAUGAUACUUUAGGUUAUUGCAAAUUUGUCAAAAAUAUAUCCAAAAGAUAUGGAAGCUCCUGCUGGUGGAGUUGAUGACAUGACAAAGCUCUCUUAUUUGCAUGAACCUGGUGUUUUACAGAACUUGGCAACCAGAUACACACUCAAUGAAAUUUAUGUAAGAUACCAGUUUUUUAUUACAUUGUUUUCGUUAUUCAAUUCAUAUUUUAGUAUUAUAGCACUUCUAGGUUCAAAAUAUUCUCUAGAUUUAUACCAUGACAUGCAAAAAUCAUAUAUUUGUCACUCUGGCAGACUUACACGGGAAAUAUUCUUAUUGCUAUAAAUCCAUUUCAAAGACUGCCUCAUAUUUAUGAUUCUCAUAUGAUGGAGCAAUAUAAAGGGGCACCAUUUGGAGAGCUCAGCCCGCAUGUUUUUGCAGUCGCUGAUGUUGCAUACAGGUGAAGUUUAUUACUGUUAUAUGGAGGACUUUUGAUUUGCUUCAAGAACGUAAAAUGUUAUGCAAAUACUUCAUUUGGAAUAGGGCAAUGAUUAACGAGGGAAAAAGCAACUCCAUUCUGGUUAGUGGUGAAAGUGGGGCAGGUAAAACUGAAACAACAAAGAUGCUUAUGCGCUAUCUUGCCUUUUUGGGUGGGCGUGCUGCAACUGAAGGAAGAACGGUAGAACAACAAGUUUUGGAAGUAAGACCUAAUUGUUUAUCAAGACAGUUUAAUAUUUUUUUUCUAAAUCCUCUGUUUAUAACUUGUGCUUCUGAAACUUUGCUAACUGAUGUGAUUGCAGUCAAACCCAGUUCUCGAGGCAUUUGGCAAUGCUAAAACUGUCAGAAAUAACAAUUCUAGGUUGUCUGUUGCCAUAAAUUCACAUUUAUAGGAGAUUAAAUGUCAGGAUAAGUUUUUAUAACAAGAUACCUUUAUUACAUAUCCUGAGAGAUUUGCAUUUUUUUCUUUUUUCUUUUUUUGCCCCUUAAUUCAGCCGUUUCGGUAAGUUCGUUGAGAUCCAAUUUGAUAAGCAAGGUAGGAUAUCGGGUGCCGCCAUCAGAACCUACCUUCUUGAAAGAUCUCGAGUUUGCCAAAUUUCUGAUCCAGAGCGCAAUUACCACUGUUUUUACCUUCUUUGUGCAGCACCACCAGAGGUGACCCUCUAUUUUCUUUGGUAUUGCUUAUGAUUUUAUAAUAAUAUUCAUGGUGGAUAUUCUUGAUAUUGUUUUUUAUCUUUUAUAAAACUUGCCCAAGUUUUUUACAUCUAAUGUUUGAACUGUUACUUUGACUUUUAGGACAUUGAAAAGUAUAAGUUAGGGAACCCAAAAUCAUUUCACUAUCUUAAUCAAUCAAAUUGCUAUGAGUUGGUUGGUGUAAGUGAUGCCCAUGAUUAUUUAGCUACCAGAAGAGCUAUGGAUAUUGUUGGAAUUAGUGCACAGGAACAGGUAUCCUUUUUGUUAUGCUUGUCUGCUAUUUGGAUAAAAACUGAAAACAUCACUUGAUCUUUUUUCUGAUGAAAGUUGUUUUCCAGGAUGCAAUUUUCAGGGUUGUUGCAGCCAUUCUUCAUCUUGGAAAUAUCGAUUUUGCUAAGGGAAAAGAAAUUGAUUCAUCGGUUCCAAAAGAUGACAAGGCUAAGUUUCAUCUCAAAAUGACUGCUGAACUUCUUAUGUACACUCUAUGUUCUUAUUGUUCUUUUUUCCUUGCUUGGUAUGUUGGUCAUUGGGUUAUCUUGGAAUAUGCCAUAUUUCAGGUGUGAUCCUCAGGAAUUGGAAGAUGCACUGUGUAAGCGCGUCAUGGUAACACCUGAAGAAGUUAUUAAGAGAUCGCUCGAUCCUCUUGGUGCAACAGUAAGCAGGGAUGGUUUAGCAAAAACAAUAUAUUCUCGAUUAUUUGACUGGUAAAUGAUUUUGCAAUAAGCAAGAUUCCUAUAUCGGUUUAAUGUGUCUUGAGUUUUUAUAAAGCAGAUGAAAUGAGUGGAGGUACUGGCAUCUGAUUGAUGGAUGGUGUAUUGCAUUAACCUACAGGAUUGUUGAUAAAAUUAAUGUCUCAAUUGGGCAAGACCCAACUUCUAGUUCACUCAUCGGAGUCCUUGACAUCUAUGGUUUUGAAAGUUUUAAGACAAACAGGUAACUUGUUAAUAAGAAUCAUUCAGCUUGACUUAUAGGACAUAGAUUUACCUUUCUUUUUCUUUUGCUCCUGUUUUAACAUUUAUAACCUUUCAUUAUCCAUUCUGUAGUUUUGAGCAGUUCUGUAUUAACUUUACAAAUGAGAAACUGCAACAACAUUUCAACCAAGUAAUGCUCAUUCUUUCUGGGUUGUUCAUUGUUGUCUUGUCUUUUUAUUUAAUAAUUCUUAUGAAGGUGCAUAUUGUGCUUUCCAGCACGUUUUCAAGAUGGAACAAGAGGAGUACACGAAGGAGGCGAUUGAUUGGAGCUACAUCGAAUUUGUUGAUAACCAAGAUGUCCUAGAUCUUAUUGAAAAGGUCAUUUUUUCUCCUAUUUAGCUGCAUAGGUCUAUCAAUUAAGUAGUAUGCCAUUCAUUAGUUAUGUCUGUUAUUAAACUGUACAUGCUCCAUGCAUAAGCACUAGUUCACACAUUUCCACCUGUGUCUGUGUGUGUUUUUGUUUGUUUAUUUCUUUCUUGCUAACUUAUGCAUAUUUGUACCUAUAUCAUACAAAUAUAUAUUAUACCGACACACAAAUGCAUAUUAUAUAUAUUAUUGGGAUUUGGGUUCAAAAUCAAAUAAUUUCUUACCAAUGCAUUGAAUAGUCACAAAAUGGAUGGAUGACAAGUUAACUAAUUUUCUUUUUUUAUAAAGGAUAAAUAACUUGAUUUGAUUAAUGUAAGGCAUCCAAGCACAUUGACUCUUGGUCCAUAUGACUGUCUAUCAUUAUGCAUUUAAAGAUGUGUAGAUCUUGAUCAGUGACACGGAUUAUUGAUUUGUAAGGCCCAUUAUACAUACAAAGAUGUGCUGCACAUUUAUGUUUAUGCAUGUAAACGAAUACAUGAAGAUACAUGCAUACAAAAUAUAUUUAUGUGCGUGUAUGUAUACGUGCAAGUUGUCAUUGCUUGGUGCAAUGGUAAAAUGUUGGGAUGACAAGCACAAUGGCGUGGGUUCCAGUCCUGGGGCAGCCACUUUGUGCAAAAGAAAUUGCAAAGGCUAGGUCUGUCCCAAUUUGCCCCUCCUAGGACCUUGGAUUGCCGAGGNNNNNNNNNNNNNNNNNNNNNNNNNNNNNNNNNNNNNNNNNNNNNNNNNNNNNNNNNNNNNNNNNNNNNNNNNNNNNNNNNNNNNNNNNNNNNNNNNNNNNNNNNNNNNNNNNNNNNNNNNNNNNNGAAUGUUCGCUCGGAUUAGCGGGGGAUCUGCUAAAGUUGUUAUGCAUGUAAACAUACAUAAAUAUACAUACACAUAUACAUAUUUAUAAAAAUGUAUUAUUAUUUAUGCGCCCAUAUCCCAUGUGUUUGUAUUUACGUGCACAGAUACACAUAUAUAUAUGUAUGUGUUUGUGUAUAUAUUUAUGCACAUGCGAACAUCUAGUCUUGAAUUUGAAGAUUGGAGGAGAUCUGCACUCGUCACUUUUUUCUCUGUCAUAGAAGCAUUAAGUCCCCACUUGCUGGUAAGGACUGAGGAGAUUGCUGCUUCAAUUUUUUUCUUGGUGCUUGUAUGGAUUUAUGCUCUAAAGUUCUUGUAAUUAUGUCAUGUAGUAUAAGGACUUGCUAUUGACUUUAAACAUGUGAAGGGCGGGAUGAUGCAUGAGGCUCCUCCUGUUGCGGGGUUCGGAGAGGGUCAGAUGCAUGCAGCUGCACCUAUAUGCGGAGAGGCUGUUUUGAUAUUUAAACCCAUGACACUUGGGUCGCAAGGGAGCAAACUCACCGUUAAAUCAAGGUUCACAAUCAGUUUAAACAUCUGACAUCUAAUGAAAAAUGCCUAACGAUUUAAACAAGUUCUGUGAUUCAGCUAACCUAAUCAGAUCAAAUUAAGUUCUCACAUUUAGUAUGAAAAAACUCAAACACGUAAAAUCAGGAUGACAUUUAAUUAAAUAUACCCCUGUUAUUCUUGAAAAGUCACCAAGAAGUAGCAGUAAUAAGGCCCAAACAGGCUGAAUGAAUUGGUAUUGGUGGAACUUGAAACCUUGAUCCGAACAUGUUGACUACCAAGGAUUGGCGUACUGUACCAACUAGGGACUGGUAUAGAGUACCCCCACUAGACUCCCUUAUUGUGUAAUGACCUCAUCAUGAGCAGCAUCCAGACUACCACAUAUCAUCUGGUAACUACCUGGUGUUGUUCAGUACACCUUUUUUUUUAAAAAAUAUUUUUUUGGUCAUGUAAACUGGCCAUUUACAAUGUUCACAAAUGCCUAUUCAGUACCGCCCUAGCAAUAUUCGAAGUGAUUUCUGGUGCAAAUUGUAUUAGGUGUAAGUCUCUUGUCAAUCUCUAAGCAAUAUAUGUCCAAGUUGAUAAUGCCACGUGUGAGUAGAUGAAAAAGUACAAUUCAGAGCUGGUGGCAAUUUCUUGGAUGAGAAAGCCCUCUAUUCUGACAGACUCCUUGAGUCUUAGAGCACGCUGUGAGCAGGAAAGAAUGCCACAAAGCACUAGAUAUCAAGGUUUUAAAUCUCGUGGGACAGAGAUAUGCCCAUUUUUUGAUGGAACAGGACACCCCGCUAUCCCGCCCCAUCCUGGCAGUAGUCCCGGUCAUGCAUCCCAGUAGAUGUCCUCUCUCUCUCCUUUUUUUCCUUUCUUUUUUUCUUGCUUUCGUUUUCUUCUUUCUUUCUUCUUUCUUUCUUUUUUCUUUCUUUUUUCUUUCUUCUUUUUUUCUUUCUUUUUGUUCUACCUUCCUUUCUUUCCUUUCCUUUUUUUUUCUUUUCUUAUCCCUUCCUUGUUUUCUUUUUUUCCUUUUCUUCUUUCUCUUUCCUUCCUUCUUUCCUUCCUUUCUUUCUUUUUCUUCUCCCUUCCUUUCUUUCUCUCAUUUUUCUUCUUCAUAUUUUCUUUCACUUUUUCCUUUUCUUCAUCUUUCCUUACUUUCUUUUUUUCCUCUUUCUUCUUCUCUCCUCGCAUGGAUGGGUUUUGGAGUCCGACCCCCUCUCGAUCCUGUUUUCUCGCAGGAAUGGGACAGGAUGGCCGGGAUGCCCCCCGUCCUGCCUGGACAUAAAACCUAGCUAGAUAUUAUGUUAUUUUACUACUUGAUGAAAUACCGGUAGCCAAUUCAUAAUUACAUUAUGAAGUGGAUAGCGAUAACUUAGGGGUUGACUGAACCAUACCAACACCACUAGUCUUGACUAUGAGCUAUUCACAAUUUCAUAGAGGAAUUUGAGAACGAAAUAUAUGUUGAUCACCCGUCAUGUAGUUAGACCCACAAGAAUCAAUGACCUAAUAGGAGGAUCUAAAAGGCACAAGACAUCAAACUUUGUGAGUUAAGGAAGCAUAUGUGGAUGAAGCAUGAUCAUUUAGUUAAUCAAAGUUGAUCCUUCCUUAAUUCUUUAUGCAUGCAAAAUCUUCCUUGGCCAAUGUUAUUGUCUCCUUUCCCUAGGAUUCUGCUAGUAUUCAAGGGUUUAAUAGCUCUGUUGAAGUUGGAUUGAUCUUCUAUGAUGAUAGCUUGAUUGGCCCAUACUGUCCAUACCAACUUUCCAUGUAGAUCCUAAUGUGUGUCAACUUUAUGAUUAAGAAAUCCACAGUGCGGGCACUUUGUGGUUCCAUAGACUCUCCCUGGUUAUAUACCUCCAUUGUAGCUUCUACAAUGGUCUCGACAUACAAUAUAUAGCCAUUGUUGGAAGAAACAUAGGCUGAUUAGUUGAUAUAUGUAGGUGCCGUUUAAUGGAAUAACUGUUAACUUAUGGAAAUCCCCUUAUAUAAAGAGGGAACUUCACCCUUCGUGAGUGAAGAGGCUUGCACUUUUCGUAUGGCAUAAUUUACCCAUAUUUGCAUGAAUUGGGAGCAGUGCAUGAGCCGAUUCAGGGGCUAGUGCGGGGAAGUGAAUCUCUCUCUCUCUCUCAAAAAAAAGGAAACAAGAGAGGAAGGUGCAGGUAGUAAAGUUUUUGUGGAAAUUCCAAAGUCAAUGCAGUAUCCUAAGUACAAAUUUCCUAUUACUAAGAUGUUGACACAAGUUUGGCAACAUGAAAAUAUAUUCUGUGCUUUUUCUAUGCAUAAAUAUCUGCAGCAGGGGAUUGAUACAUAUCUGGCUCUUUGAAAUAUCUUGGUUAAUGUUUGAUCUCCUUGUAAUGCAUCAUCCUCAAUACUUUCCAUAUCUCCAAUGAAAUUUUAAGGAACAUAACAAUCCCCUAUUUGACAAUCAUGUCAUUCGUUCCACUGCUUUAUGUUCCCAGUCUUCUAUUUUGGAAUAUUUUCUUUUAGCUCUAGGUGAAAGAGAUGUAAGUUACCCUCUUUUCCUUUUGCCCUCAAAAAAAAUACUUGGUCAUCCAUUGCCGACUAAAUAGUUUUGAUCAGUGUUUGCAAUCUCGAAUCAUACCACCCGGCAUGGGCUAUACCAUUUUGUAUUGGUUGGAUAACAAACCCCCUAUGCUCCCCAUAUUGAGUGUCCAUAUUGAGGUAUGUACUGUACCGACCCUCGGUACCGGUUGGGUGUACGGGAGCUGAUGUCGAGAUUGUAAACCUUGGUUUUGAUCAUUCAGCAAGCUUGCUAUAGUUCAUACUAACGAUUAUAUAGCUGAUUUCAAAUCCAUGCUUAUAAAAAAUGGACAAGAUUUUGUCAAAAACUUAGGUUGUGAUGAGCUCGGCAUAUUUGCAGAAUCUCAUGUUAUGGCUGACAACAAUAAGAGAGCAAGGAACCCAUGUGCACAUGUAACCUAACUACUUGGAGCAUACACAAAUAUUCCCUACUGUCGUGGGGGCCACAUUAACUUAUUAUCUUCCUGCAUCCUUCCCAUAUCUAAAGCUUCUGGAUGAGAGAGCUUUAUAUGAAGAGAUCUAUGACAAGUUGAAAAAAAAAACUGAUUUGGCCGGCCCCAACAUUUUGUUGAAGAAACUUACCCAAGAAAGUUAUUUGAUCAGAGAAAUAUAGAUUGAUUUGCUUUAGGAUUGUGAGGAUUCUAGGUCCUUUCAUCAUUUGAUGAAAGGUCUUGCAGGUCUCUACUGAUCAUGUCUCUGCUUCCCACCAACAAAUCUUCGGCAAUAAGGAAAACAUAGAGGUGUCUCACCAAUCAUACAAGAAAAACAUAAUAAAUAUGAUAUCUUAGAGUAAGAAGUGAGUGAGAAAGGAGAGAAAAGUGAAGCAGAAGAGUGGGGAGAGUUUUUUUGUUUUUUGGGUGGGGAUGUUUUGCCAAAAUGGACAACCAGGACUCCUGCCCGCUGUUGACACUUUUCCUAUGAACCUUUCUUUUACGGACACAGUUUAUAGUUUUAUUCUUUUGUAAUAGGUUGAACUCAUUUCUUACAUGCCAUUUUACAACAGUACAUCUUGAGACAGACUAUUUAGAUCAAACAAUGUGGAUCUAAUUGGAUUAGUCAGCAAAUAUAUUCUCUUAUAUGUUUCCUAUUCUUGUAUCAAAGUAGCCUUGGAUUCCCUUUCACAGAAGGUAGCUUUUAAAAUUUGAAAUAUGGGAAAGUUUUAAAAACACAUCCAGAAUCCACUUCUAUUUUUUUAAUUAGUUUUACUGAAAAUAUUUCUCAUUAUUUACAGGAUAGUUAACACACUUUUGUUAAAUGUAUGUCCACAAAUGUAGUGUUCUAGUACAUUGGCAUUAUCUUUGUAUUGGUUAUAAUGCUGACUAGUUUAUGCAUUACACCUGAGUGAUCCAAAAAGAUUAACAGUGUUGUUUACUGCUUCUUCCAUCAUAAUAAUUUCCCUUGUUAUGAUAAAUCCUGAUUAUGUAAAAAAGUUAGAAUCUGAUGUCAUCCUUUUUGAUGGUGGAUUAUGACUAGAUUGCCUCAGCAAAAUCGAUUUAUAUUUACCAGUGAAGGAUUCUGAAUGCAUGCAUAUGAAUUUGGAAACUGCAUAUUAUAGAAAACUUAUACUUUUAUUAUCAUUUGCAGAAACCUGGAGGUAUCAUUGCACUCCUUGAUGAAGCAUGGUAUGGCAAUGUUUUUAUUUGCUUUUUUUGAACACCCAAUAUUUUCUUUUAAAUGAAGUGAAUUCAAUGUACUUAGCAAUAUUCUGUUAGAAGCUGUCAAAUGUGCACAAAAUCUUUGUUUGAAUUAUUGGUAGGUGAAUUUGUUCACCGCCUUUCUUGUACUAUUAAUCAUCUUUUUCUCCCCAUUUCACCAGUAUGUUUCCAAAGUCAACACAUGAAACCUUUUCUCAGAAGCUUUAUCAAACAUUCAGUAAACACAAGCGCUUCAUCAAGCCAAAACUCUCUCGUACAGAUUUCACAAUAUGCCAUUACGCUGGCGAGGUAAGUUUUGAUGAAUUAGCUCAUAUUUUUUUAUAACAGGAUUUAUUAUUUUUCUAAAAGCAUUCCUUCCUUGCUUUUAUCAGGUGUUAUAUCAAUCUGACCAGUUUCUAGACAAAAAUAAAGAUUAUGUGGUGGCAGAACACCAAGAUUUGUUGAGUGCUUCAAAAUGCCCUUUUGUGUCAGGCCUUUUUCCUCCUCUGCCUGAGGAGACAAACAAAUCUUCUAAGUUUUCCUCCAUUGGUUCUCGUUUUAAGGUGUAUAAUCUUUCUAUUUUAAUCAGCUAAAGGUUAACAGAAACAUGACUCCAUCAUAUAUAGAAGAGUUAAAAUUUUUAUUACAUGUUACAUGCCUUUCAUUUAUCAGACUUUUUCCAGGUUUUCUUUGCAGUAACAUAUGCACCUCACUCUAUUAUGGUCUACUUGCUGCAGCAACAACUACAGGCCCUGAUGGACACAUUGAAUUCGACAGAACCUUAUUAUAUUAGAUGUGUGAAGCCGAACAAUCUUCUAAAACCUGCCAUAUUUGAAAAUGUCAAUGUCAUGCAGCAAUUGCGAUGUGGUGUGAGUGCAAUUCAAACUUAGAUGGUCUUCUAUUAUUCAAACUUAGAUGAUCUUCUAUUGUUCCUAUUAUACUGUGCACGUGUCUAAAUUUUACAACUAUUGGUGGCAUUAGGGUGUUCUUGAGGCUAUCAGAAUCAGCUGUGCUGGAUAUCCUACACGUCGCACAUUUUAUGAAUUUCUACACCGUUUUGGUAUUCUUGCUCCAGAAGUUUUGGAGGGGAAGUAUGUUCCACCUUUAGUUAAUAGUUUUAUACUUGUUAUGUUUUUGAUUUUGACUCAGCGAUGUCAGGUUUCUUCUUGAACUCUUUACUUAUUGUUAUGUCAUUUGUGUUUCUUGUUCUAAUAUGUUACAAUUGAACAGCUAUGAUGAAAAGGUAGCAUGCAAAAAAAUUCUGGAAAACAAGGGCCUAACAGGCUUUCAGGUAGCUUCUGGACCAUCUUUGUCAUUAUAACAUUAUGUAUAUCCAUACUUCAUUGGAAUAACUGCAUACAAUCAUUACUUGAUGUGCUCUUUCAUAAAUGUUUCUGAGGCAUGAGUCAUUUUACAGAUUUUGCUAGAGUCUUUAAUUUUUCCUUUUCUUUUGAAGUUAAUCAAAAUUAUCUACGAAUUAUUUGCUCGUAUCUUAGACUAGUAUUGAUGAGAACUUCAUAUAGUGCUGAUGUUAUAUAUCAUAUCACCUCCUGGUUUUCCAGAUAGGAAAGACAAAGGUUUUCCUUAGAGCUGGUCAGAUGGCUGAGUUAGAUGCUCGAAGAGCUGAAGUACUUAGCAAUGCUGCCAAAGCUAUCCAACGCCAAAUACGAACACAUAUUAUGCGGAAACAGUUUGUUGCAUUGCGGAAGGCUACCAUUCAUGUUCAGGCACUAUGGAGAGGUGUAUUUAGGUCAUGUUGAUGUGAUAGUCUGUUUGAUUUCUUUUGUUGAUUACUGACAUCAGUAUGGCAUGUUUGUAGGACGAUUGGCUUGUAAGCUGUAUGAGUGCAUGAGAAGAAAGGCUGCUGCAAUUAAAGUUCAGAAACAUUUGCGCACGUACCAGGCUAAGAAGGCUUAUACACGUUUGAAAAUGUCAGUUCUUGUCCUGCAAACUGGUUUUAGGGCCAUGGCUGCUCGGAACAAGUUCAGAUUUAGGAAGCAAACAAAUGCAGCAACUGCCAUUCAGGUUAUUAUUAAAUUUUUAUGUUACAUAUGUUUAAAAAUAUCAUUUAUGUACUUUGUUGUUUACGGAUAUUGCUGUCCUCUUGAUCCAUUCUGUAGGCUCAUUGGCGCUGUCAUAGAGCUCAUUCUUAUCAUAAAAAGCUAAAGAGGGCAUCCACUGUCACCCAGUGCAGAUGGAGGGGAAGAGUUGCAAGGAGAGAGCUCCGGAAACUCAAAAUGGUUGGUUAUCUGACCAGGUUUUUCUGUUUGUGCAAGAUAAUGAAACACAAGAGCUUGUGAUGAAAAGCAAGCUUUUUCAUUCUUUUUCCUGUGGUAUAUGUGGCAUUGUAAGUAGGCUUGCAGGCAUUUCCACUAAACAGUAGCAAAAGUAUAUGGACAUUGAUCCCUGAUGAGCUGAUGAAGCUUGGAAAUAAUUGACACACCACCUACGGUACAUGCAUGUAAAAGUGCUUGUCAAAAUCUUUCCUUGCUUUGUUAGAAAGGCAGCUAACCUUUCGCUCAGACAUGUUGGAAUUCUUUGGAGAAUCCUUUAUUUGGAGGAUGGAAAGUAAGGAGAAAGAAGUACAAGUUAAGAAAAAGGUAGAAUCAAAGUGAAGACGUUGAUCCAAUGAAAAGUCAAUGUCUAAUCACAUUACCAGAUUUGCUAAAACCAGAGCUUCAUAAUGUAAAGAUUACUAGAAGUCUAGAACCCUUUGAAAUCAAUCCCUAUGAUUCUAUAACUUCCCUAACCAGCUGAUAUAUAGUAGUUCAACAUGACCUUGCAUAUGCGAUGGCAUUGGGCACUAAGAUGACAGCUUACUUUGCUCCACAUAAUUCCAGAAACUUCUCAAUUGAUUUCAAUCAUGUGAUUGACAUGUCAUUCCUAAAUUUAGGUGCUGUUACCUUUGUAAGUUGUGUAUUGUAACAGUAACCUAUACUAUCCCAGUAUGCCUCUUAAAUAGAAAAGUAAUUAACAUGAACAGAGAGGGAAUAGAUUUUUAAUUAGAGAACUGAAAGUUGCACAUUAUUAUGUUGUUGUGAAAAGUGAUGAUUAGGUCACAAAAUUCUGUUUCUUCUGCCUCAUUUGCCGGUAUAUUUUGGAUAAUGAGACUACCUUAUCUGAUUUGUAACUAAAUUCAGAGAAUGUCACAUGUUCAGUAGCUAGAAGCAUAUUAUCACAUUGAGGUUCUCUGUCUUUAUUUUUUUCCCCAGGCAGCACGAGAAACAGGUGCACUUAAAGAAGCAAAGGAUAAGCUUGAAAAAAAGGUGGAAGAACUUACAUGGCGUUUACAGUUGGAGAAGCGAAAGAGGGUACUACUUAGACAUUUUCUUCACUAUUUUCCCAGUGGGUUAUCGCUAGAGUUCAUAUUUUAUCACGACAUGUUAAUAAUAGCUGUCACAUGUAUAACUUUUUUUGUUCUGCCACUGACAUGGAUAGUUGAUUUGCCUGUUCACAUAUAUGUAAUUUUUUAAUUAACUGACAGUGCAGUUCUAAAUAAAUCUCACCUGACCUUCACAGAGACUGAUGUUUUAAUGAUCUGUGAAUGGAUGCAGAUGGACUUAGAGGAAGAGAUAACAAAAUUACAGAGCUCUCUUCAAGCAACACAAAAUAAAGUGGAUGAGACAAAUGCAAUGCUUGUCAAGGAACGAGAGGCUGCUAGAAAGGCUAUUGAAGAAGCACCUCCUGUUAUCAAGGAGACCACUGUUCUUGUUCAAGACACUGAAAAAAUUGAUUCCCUGACAACAGAAGUGGAACACUUGAAGGUACUUGCCCAUGUCCGGUUCUCUCUUAUACUUUUGGUGUUUUUCUUUAUUGCUUGAUGGUGCUGCAACCAAUAUAAUAUAGUUCUCAACUCAACUAGGCCUUAAUCCCUAAUUAGUUGGAGAAAAAUAAAGAUAAUACAAUAUAAUGCAGUGAUAAUGUAAUAUGCAUUACUUAUAAUAUGCACCAAAAUUAAAACUUUUGGUGCUUUAACUAAUAUAACAUAAUAUAAUAUAAUAUAAUGCAGUAUUCCUUUCGGUAACACUUAAGAUGACUAAAUAUGUUCGCAUGCAUGAGAGAAAAUAGAAUUUAUCAAUUUAAUAAUGCUUCCAUUUGUUGUGUCAAAUUAUAGUAGGGACUAGGGAUGCAACUUGUGCAGAUUGGAUUGAGUUGAGGGCUAAGCCUAAUCUAUCGCAACUUGUAUGUCCAACCUUAACCCAACCCCCAACCUGAAAUAGGGUUGGGAUUUAUCCAACCCUACCCAUCUUAAGCUGAACUCAAGCUGGAUGGCUUAAUAUUGGAUUGGUUGGUAUCUUGCUUCGCUGUGUUUAUGCUAUCUGUGACUCAAGAAGAGCUAUAGAUAUACUUCAAUAAGACAUAUAAGCAUGAAGCAUUUCAUUUCAUUUAUCAGGUUGGAUCAGGUUCCAUUAAAUUAGGAUCAGGUGAGGGUUGGGUUUAAGCUCAACCAUGACUAAACCAAACCUGGAGUUGGGUUGAGAUUUUUGAGCAAGCACCAACUCCAAGUUCAUAAAUCCAUGGCCUCCCUCGACCUAAUGAGCAGGUUGGGCUGGUCGGGUCAAGAUAAACCCAGCCCAAGUUGCACCUUUACUUUUUAUGAAAUUGUUAGAAAGUAUAUUUUAAUGGAUUGCAUGUCAAAUUGAUAUCUUGUAACCAAUAUAACAUUAACAAUAAAAUUUCUUGUAUCAUUGGAUUCAAUAUGUUUGGCCCAAUUAAUCUAGUGAAGCAUGCAAUUUUUUUCAGUUAUUCAAAUGUGUGAGACAUGAAUUCAAGACAGACAUGAAAAUUUAAGACUGAAAAUGUCAUUUUCUGCUUACCAAAUUUGGUUCCCCAAAUAGUUGUGCGAAGUCUGGAUGGUCAUGGUAUGUUCAUGCCUUCAUGGCUUAUCAAAGUUAGUUAUAACUGCAACAAUAGGUGCUAUAAACUCCAGGUUGCUUACUAGAUUGAGAAUUUUUCCUGAUGAGAUAAAGUUUCCAGGUCUGUAAUUUGUAAUUGCAUUAUCCCUUUUGUACUUUUCUAAGUUGAAAUUUCCUGUUUAACUUGUUCUAAGUGUUAGUAAGUGCUUCUCCAUAAAUGCUCAUUUCCAGCAUAGCACAUAGCACCAAGGCAAUGCACCAAACUUUGUUAUAUUUGUUUUUCUUGAUUCUCUUAUAGGCUUCAUUACAUUCAGAGAAAGAAAGAGCUGAUGAGUUUGAAAAGAAAUAUGCUGAAGUUCAAAGAAUAAGUGAAGAAGGACAAAGAAAAUUGGAAGAGGCAGAAGGAAAAGUACAUCAACUUCAGGAAUCUUUAAACAGGUCAAACUUCUUUCUGGGUGUUAGAUUUCUUAUUCUUCUAGCAACUUUUUUCCAAGGACUUAAUUGUUUGCGUUGAGAAAUGUUAUAAAUGAUUUCCUUUAGCUGAGUAUUUUUUUUGUUUUUUCCUUUCCAUUAGGAUGGAUGGUAAGGAAACACUUAUAUAGCUGACUCAUAUAAAUGGGAGAUUUGUUGAUUAAGGUAAUGAUGCUCAUGUUUUCGACCAUUGCAUGCCACUUGCUUGGCCUUUUCCCCAGCUCCUGUGAAGAAAUUGCUUGUGACUUGUGGUGCCUAGUUCGGUUUCCUUCAGUAUGGUGGUGCACUUGUUUGACUGAUGAUCUCCAAUCUAGAAGCCAGUUUUGGACAACAAACCCCUUGUCUGAAAACCAAGUUAGUACUUUUUCCUAUCCCAAUGUACAUCCAGGUCUUUGGAUGAUCCUUAAAAAGAACCUACAUCAAUAUAAAUAGGUUCCAGAUUUGUUCUGGGUGUGGUUGGUUUGGAGUUGGGUCCCCAGGGAAUUCAGGAGUUAAACUUUUGAGGGGCCUCCCCAUGAUGAAAAUGACUUAUGUUUUGUAGUCAGAAAAUCUUUUUCAGACAUAUAUUCUAUAGAUUGUAUUUGUUGUAAAGACUUAUGGGUUGUUUCAAAAGUAAAUUUUUUUAGCUCAUUUGUUAAAUGAGUAAAAGUAGGCUCUUUCCUAGUUUAAAAAAUGUUUCAGUUCUUUAAAUUAAUCAGUUAUUACUCAACAACUUAAAAGUACAAUCAUGAGUGAAAAAUUCUGUUUUGUUAGGGGAGAAAAUUGCAGGUGAAAGAAAAUAUAGAAGAUUUAGAAUUUUUAGGCUUAUUAUUUUACAGUUAAAUGAAUAUCUAGUGAUUAUAAAACUAGGUUAAUUCUAGGUUGACCGAUCUAAAAGUAGGCCACUUCCAGGCAUAUAAUGCUGUCUAAAAUCCAUGUGUUGAAAAUGCUAGGCUUGUGUAUAUAAUUAAAUAGCAUUUGCUGGUAAGGUGUGAACUAACUGGUUUUGUAAAUUAUCUCAGAACAGCCAACAACUGUUAGCUCAGCUGAUUGGCACCCCUCACCUAGAGGCUUGCCUUGGGGGAAGUCUAGGGUUCAAAUCCUAGUGGUGGUACCAAGGUCUGCCGGACCGACCAUACCGGCAUACUAGUGGGCACCGGUACUGGUACGGUAUCGGUUGGAACCGGUAUCGAACCGUAGACAUGCGCGCGGACGUGACCAUGCGCAGACGUCAACAAAAAAAAAGAAAAAAAAGCAAAAAACAAUGGGUCGGUAUGCGUCCGCGCGCGGACGCGUUAAAAGCCAUAGAGUGGACUCGCACAUCUGUGCGCGAUUCCCGAAAAAAAAAAAGCAACUACGCGUCUGCGGACGCGCGCGGACACGUUAAAUGCCACUCUAUGGCAUUAAAUGGGCAGCCCGCGUGGGCGCUCUUUUCCGCACGCGGGCGCGCAGGAAAAAUUCGCUUGGUUCGGUGGUUCACACCGGUACCGGCUUGUACUGGUGCGAACCGCCGGUUCGCACCGGAACAAGUACGGAACCAAUCGGUUCCGACCCAGUUUGGAUCGGAACCGAUUUUAUAUGCUGUACCGUACUGGUGUCUGUCGGUUCAACAUACCAUGGGUGGUACAUUACUGUUGUAUUACUCAAAAAAAGAAAAAGUAAAUUAUCUCAGAAGAAUCUUUCUUCUUCACCUUUAGAGUGUUUCUUAUAUAUUGUUCAUGAAAAUAAAUCUUCUUGAUCAUUUAUUUCAAUUUGUAUAUGAUGAAAAAAGGGUGUCCUAGCGCACGAGGCACCCAUAGUUCUGAGGAGGGUCAAAUAUAUAUAUUCUGACUCCUGCAUGCGGAAAGGCUGUUUCGUUAUAUAAUAUUCAAGUAUAUGAUGAUUAUUGGUUAUAUGAUAUGCAAGUAUUUUCAUAAAAUGCAUCAGUACUGUGAUUAAUUAUUGUGACAUGACAGUGCUAUAAGCUGCACUGUUGUAUCUACAAAUAGCAUGGUUUCAUCUGAUAGCAUGUCUUAACAUUCAGUCACCUACCUUCAAAUAUCUUCAUUACAAAAACAGUAUAUGCAACCACAUGAUUCCAAGCCAGUUGACUAUACAUGAUAGAAAAUGGUAUUCACCCUAUACGUAAUGAUUUAAUUUAAGUGAAAACCUAUAUUUUCUCAAUUAGGCUUGAAGAGAAGACAUCAAAUGUAGAAUCGGAAAAUAAAGUACUCCGUCAGCAGGCUGUAUCCAUGGCUUCCAAUAAAUUUUUAUCAGGACGUUCUAAAUCAACUGUACAGGUGAAUCCUACAAAUAUCAUGCUGAAUUCCCAAAUGACAAUUUAAAAUAUAAAGCACAUUAUAAUAAUUCCUUCUUUUGGUUGACAGAGGAGUUUUGAGAGUGGUCAUGUAAUAAGUGGUGAUGCAAAAACAAAUGCAGUAAGAGGAGGCUUGUUUUGUAUUUUGAUAGUUUGUUAGUCAAUUAAGAAGUCUGGAAUAAUUCAUUAGCUGACCAUCUCCACAUGUAUGUUCUAGGAUCCCCACAACACCUCAUCUGCCUCAAGGGAACACUCUGAAGUAGAAGAUAGACCACAGAAAUCUCUCAACGAGAAACAGCAGGUAUGCUUCUAGCUGCCUUUACCAUUAAUUCCUUUUAGAUUUCCUGCUAAUGAUGCUUCACGAUCUGGAACUUUAAUGGCUUGCUGCUUCUUCUUUCCCACUUUUUUUCUUUUUCUGUGUGUGUCUGUGCAUAUGCGAGUACCUAUUGUUGCAUUGAUUGCCACUUACAGGAGAAUCAGGAUCUGCUGAUCAGGUGUAUUGCACAGCACCUAGGCUUUGCAGGGAGCAGACCAAUCGCUGCCUGUAUUAUAUACAAAUGCCUUCUCCAUUGGCGAUCUUUUGAAGUUGAGCGUACAAGUGUUUUUGACCGUAUUAUUCAGACUAUAGGCCAUGCUAUUGAGGUUUGAAGUGUGAUAUUGGAAUUCUUGUGUUUUGGUUAGCCAGCUGACCCUACUGAAUUAUUCUUCUUUACCUGUUGAAGACCCAGGAUAAUAAUGACGUCCUUGCCUAUUGGCUCUCCAAUGCUUCGACCUUGUUACUGCUACUCCAACGUACACUGAAAGCAAGUGGUGCUGCCGGCAUGGCUCCACAACGCCGGCGGUCUUCAUCAGCUUCUCUAUUUGGGAGGAUGACUCAGGUUGAAAAAUGUCUUGUUUGUUGAUAUCCAAAGAUGCUUACUAAAGUUGAAGUUUAUGCUUGUGAAAACUAGUUAUCAAGUUCAAAUGUUUAUUGUGUAUUGUUUUUGUAUUAGAGUUUCAGGGGAACCCCUCAAGGUGUAAACCUUUCUUUUGCAAAUGGAAGCUUGGUUGGUGGAGUAGACACAUUGCGCCAAGUGGAAGCGAAGUAUCCAGCUUUACUGUUCAAGCAACAACUUACUGCAUAUGUAGAAAAGAUUUAUGGAAUGAUCCGUGAUAAUCUGAAAAAAGAGAUUUCUCCCUUGCUUGGUCUGUGCAUUCAGGUAUAUUUAUGUGCUUAUGUCCUUGGCAUUUGUGUGUUGGUUUUUUCAUGUAAUGUUGGCUUUGCUGGUGUUUUUCACUUUUUGGCAAAUUAUGGAUACUGCUUUAGGCAAAGUGUUGUUUUUCAUCCGGUUCAGUUGGUAUAUUCAUGUUACUUCUGUACAUGAAUUAUGUAGGCUCCUAGAACAUCAAGGGCAAAUUUAGUGAAAGGAUCUUCUCGUUCACUUGCAAGUGCUGCAGCCCAGCAAGCUUUGAUUGCUCACUGGCAAGGGAUUGUAAAGAGUCUCGGAAAUUUCUUGAGUACAUUGAAAACAAAUCAUGUUAGUAUAUUUCUGUUGCCACCGCAUUUUUUUUUUUCAUUAACUUUACCUCUAUAGUAAGUUCUAGCAAAAUUCAGUGGUCUAUCUAUGCAUUCUGGGUUAACAGAUUGCAUCUUAUCUAGCUUUUACUUAAAUGAGUCAAAACUGUCAAAUAGACCUAAAGUCUCUAACUGGUAUAUUUUACCGUACUCAGGUGCCUCCCUUUUUAGUUCGAAAGGUAUUCACACAGAUAUUUUCCUUCAUCAAUGUACAGCUAUUUAACAGGUAUUGGGUUUAGCUGUUUUCUUCGUACAAAGUGCAUCAUGGCAUGGUGUGAUGAGAGUUUUUAUUAAUUACAAGGAACUCUUUCUGUUUACAGUCUUCUAUUAAGGAGGGAGUGUUGCUCAUUUAGUAAUGGGGAAUAUGUUAAAGCAGGACUAGCUGAACUAGAACAUUGGUGCUAUAAAGCAACAGACGAGGUACCUCAGUUUCUUGACUGUAGUUUACUUAUUUUUCCCCAGUUUGAUAUAAAAAAACAUUUUCACCGAACUUCGAAAGUUCAAAUGCAACUAUGUUGUACUUGUUGCAGUGCGUUAUGAGUGUCUGCCAGUAUAUUGGCUUGUUUGCAGUGAAUUGGUUUUUGGCAUAUCUGGCAAUAUUUGAAAAUGUUAAAAUGUGAAAGAUAUGGAGAAUAUGUGAAAAAUAAGAAAAUGAAAGAAAUAUCUGACAAAAUUGCAAGAAGAUACAAGUCUUUGUCUAGGUGCUCUUUCCCAUAUCUAUCACCUAGUAAGUUUCGCAUCAUCACUUUGGUAUUAUCUACACAUGUAAAUUUUAUCUAUAAGAGUCCUUUUAACUUAAGCAAUAAAAGAAAAAAGCAUACCGAGGGACCUUUCUUUUAUCAUUUUUUUUUCUCGUCUUCCAUCCCUUUCUUCUCUUCAGCAUUUUUUUUAAAAGCAUAUAAAAUUGUCUCUUGAGGUAUAUAUUAUGUGCCCUAUUAAUUCAAUUUUCUUAAACUCUCCCUCUAGAAAAUGCUAUGGAGCAACACCUUUUUAAUUUCUGCGCACUGACACUAUUUACCACUCUUUCGUGUAUACUGAGAUCUGAAGCAACGUAGAGGAGUUAUUUUAAAUUGCAAUCUAAAAAUAGAAAAGAAAUAUUAUGCAUGACUUUCUUUUUAAAAGCUGAAAUCCAGAAGUUCCAUUUACCUGGAUUUACUCUUUCAAGUAGACUCAUAAUUAUUUUCUUAUGACCUCACUAGCCUCCAGCUAUUGGGGUUUCUCCUCCUUUCUCAAGAUGGCUUUUUGAACCAGUUAGGAUUUUAUCUUUUCAAUUUCCCAAGCAUUCCUCUUUCUUUAGGGAGUCUUAGUGAGUGCUUAUGACCAUGAGGAGUCACCUAUCUUCCCGAGAAUAAGAAAGCAGAGCCAUUAUCAUCCUCGAGUUGAUUGAGAUGUCGCUGUAGUCUCCUUGAGAAAGAGGAAAGUGGGGAAAAGCCCAUAAAUGAUUAUUAGAGUUGUCAGAGUUUGUCAGAAAGGGAAACAUGGAAAAUCGAAAGCCAUCACCAAGCUGCAAAUAUUUCCUCAAAAAGAGGCAUGGGAAGGAAAAACCAACAAAAAUGUUGGACUUUAAAUAAUAGAUUUACAAAAUGGUUGAUAUUUUUGUUCCUUCUAAUCAGUGAGACUGGAUAUUCAGGUUGUUCUAAGCUGCCCUAAGGCUGCAUCUGCAUGGAUGAAUGCGAAUAAGUAUGUUGGUGCUUUACAUUUAAAUUGUGCUAGCAUUCCUCACUGUAAAGUCAGGAGACUAAUACUGGAAGAUCUAAGUUAAUGUUCUUGAAGUAAAAAAUUCAAAUGGGAAUGGAUUUGUAACUUAUUAACCUUGGUUAAGAUGCCUAAAAUGUUAGGAUUUUGCCUUCUGUCAUUUUUUAGUUAUUUAUCUCAAUUCUUUAAAUUUUAAUCAAGUGUGCAAGAGAAAAUUCGUUUUGCAGUCAUUACUAAUUCUACUCUGCAAUGUUCUGGUUUUAGUGAAUUCAGGACUGGUCAACAAGCUCAAUUUAAUAUCAGUCUAGUUUUGUGAACAUUAUUUUCGUUGCCUGAUAAUGUUUCAAUUGCAGUAUGCAGGUUCAGCUUGGGAUGAGCUAAAGCAUAUCAGACAGGCUAUUGGGUUCCUGGUACUGAGUUCUUGUUGUACUGCUAUUUGUGUUGCACAUCAUUUUUAACCCUUAGUUGGAUUGCUUUUAGUAAGUCAUACUUAUUAGCUUUCUGCUAUACAAAUUUACUGCUGUACAAGUUCAAGUUUGAAAAAUAUUGUAGUACCUGCACAAAUAAGUAAACUGAGAUUGUCCAUUCCUAGACUCAAAAUUCUGUAUCCUCGAAGUGGGCAACCAUUCACACCUUUCCUUCCAAGUUGAGAGUAUGUCUUGAAAAUUUUGAUUCUCCAGGUUAUCCAUCAAAAACCAAAGAAGACAUUGGAUGAAAUAAGCCAUGACCUUUGCCCGGUGAGUGAAACCUCUUAAUCUUCCCCUGUGCCUUUUCCCCGUUGCAGCUUUCAUGAAAUCCAACCAGCUCUACUAUUCCAUUCUCAGGUACUCAGUAUACAACAGCUAUACCGGAUCAGUACAAUGUACUGGGAUGACAAGUAUGGCACCCAUAGUGUAUCACCAGAGGUAACUUUAUUUUGAUGCCACUCAUUUAGAGAUUGUUGGGACUGCCAGAUGUUAGUAUAUUGAGGAUUUCUGAUGAGAGUGGGAAUUCUGCUUAGGUUAUAUCAAAUAUGAGGGUGUUGAUGACCGAAGACUCUAACAAUCCUGUGAGCAACUCAUUCUUGUUGGAUGAUGAUUCAAGGUUACAAACUUAUUAUUACUUAUAAAUUUGUUGUCCUUUUUUUUUAAAAAAAAAUAUUUCAUCAUUUUGCUGGAAAUCCUUCAUUUAACCUUAUUGAAUGUGCAGCAUACCAUUUUCAGUUGAUGACAUAUCGAAGUCGAUGGAACAGAUUGAUAUAUCUGACAUCGAACCACCCCCGCUUGUCAGGGAGAACUCGGGUUUUGUUUUCUUGCUUCCACGCUCUGAAUAAACACUUCCUACAUGGACUUACACCGUCAAAAAUCAGAAUGCAGCCCUAUGAUUAUUUUGACAGCCAUGUGAACUAUGGCAGGAUCAGUUCUUCCUGCUUGAUGAGGGCCAUUCUUCUCUCACAUGGAGGGCCUUGGUUAGCAGGCCGCUUCACAAAGGAGUUCCACAAAGGGCAAGUUCAGCACUCUUCCUCCAGUUUUGGUUAACUGUGUCGGUGAAUGGGCUGAAACUCAAGGUGUUGGUUGUGCUCUAUUUAACACAAGCUAGGGCUUUUUUUUUUUGAAUGGUGUAUUGUUCUUCUGGAUGUAAGAUUCAAUUUUGAAUCAAGCUGAAAGAAUAGUUCCUUUUUUUUUCAGUUGAUUCCUCUCUCAUUGAGUUGGGAAUACAAAUAUUGAUGAAAUUUGUUUUCUCGUACAAUGGCAAGACCAAAUUUGACUGUUUUCAGGCUUGAAAGUUCUUGCAGAACAAAAGCUGAAUAUCUGCAUCUCUUGUAAAACAUGGGGGAGAGACUCCAAGUUGGCAAGGAGGCAUCCAACAAAUAGAGGUUCAAUAUAAUACUCCUCUAGUGAGAGUGUCAUGCGAGAGGCAAAAUGUUAGAAUGAAUCCUAGCCUUUUCAUUAUGAUAUGCUCGAUAAAUCUGUUCGUGAUACAGAAACUGUUAUCCCUGAAUAUAAGCAACAAGCUGUUUGGUGGUCUAAAAGUUCCUCCUUUGGCAACUCUUCAAUCUUCGACUGCUGACUUGAUCAAAGGCUAAUCUACUCUUGGGUCAUUAUGUCAAGAUUUUUCAUGAGAACCGUGCACAUGCGGUAAACAAAAGAAUACAUAUUUCAUUUUAGAUGGCUCUUCCAUUCCCAUUAUUAGUGUUAUACCUGCAUUCAUCUUGCAUGAAGGUUUUAUACAAGAACGGAUAACUUUUCAGAUACUCCGGUUGGUUUUGGGAUUCACGAACGGUUCACAGGAACAGGAGAUCCUUUCUUGUCCGAUGAAAGGCAUAGCUGAACAAUGAUGUGUAAUUGCCAUUAGGCAUGCAUAUAUGUAGAGACACCAUUUAAGAUGAGCCAUUGCUCUUUCUGAAUUCCCAAAAAGAGAGUGUUUGAUCUAGUAGUCUCUUUCUGCUGUAAAAUUCAAGUAGACUGACAAAUUAUGUAAACACCCUGCUUAACUAUUCUCCAAUUUUACCUUUUUAUUGCUGCAUGUGACAGUCUAGAUGCCUUCUCUCUCACACACCUUUUCUGUGACUGCAUCUUGCCUCAGACUUGAGAAAUAGGACAAUUUACAUUUUUAACAAUAUUUUAUUAUGUUUAUGUAUGAUCGUUACAAAGGUAUCUAAGCAAACUAGUUUUUGUUGUUUUAGUCUAUUCAAGACUGAAGAAAGAACAGUAUAGGCCUUUGUUGAUAUUGACAAAAUUAGGUCACUGAAGGCUCAAAACUAAUUUCUUGUUUUAUAAUGAGUUUAAAUGACAUUUGAACUAUUUGAAGACAACAAUUGACAGCCAGCACAGAUGUCCGCGGCAGGCAAAGCAGUUUCUGCUAAAUCUCGAAGCCAAAGAACCAGACAAAAAAUACAGGCAAACAUCACAGCAAACGCCACAGAAACCAUUGUCAAGAUCAGAACAAGGCAUUCAAAGCCCAUUUUGGUAUCUCAGAAUUCAUUGAAUCCAAGUUACACACCACAUCAGGCAACAAGGUUCCUCAUAUCUACCAUUGAAUUUCAUGCGGACAGGCAGAUCUAGAGUUAGGUGCCUUGAAUUCCUCCACUGAAGCUUUGAAUGCAAGGCUGAGAAAAUAUAUCCAGUCUUCCCCAGCAAGUCCAUCGAGUCAAACACCAAUUUAAGGGAAAGAAUUUUGUCAGAUAUUCAGAUUUUGUCACCAAGAUCCCCCUUGCAAAAGCUUUCCUACAUCAACUUUCAGAGAAGUCAAGCAAUAUGAAACUCAGGAACCAGGAGACAUAACUAAGCUAUAUGAAAUUCUAAUUAACAGCCAAUCUUCUCUUCUGUUUAAUGAGUAAUUUGCAUGCAAAAUAAGGGGAAUCAAGUAAUUUAGAAUAGCCAACGAUCGGAAAGGCAGCUUUUCAAAUCCUAGGUCUCCAUUGUCAUACGUCCAGUACAUUGGAUAUUAUAUUGAUUUUUAUUUUUUUAUGUUUCAUGCCACCAGGACUACUAAUAAACAGAAUCGGUAGAGGUGGAUCUGAAUCAUUUUCAUGCACUUCUUUAACCAAAAAAAAAAGAAGAAGAAGAAUUGUCGUAAAGCAUGCUACAAGAGAGUUGCACUGCAGAAGACACAGGAUUUGCAUUUUCAAAUGAAGAUUGUACGUUCGUACAGAUUAAAAAACAAAUAGUCAUAGUGCAUGCAGUCAAGGCUGCUGACCAUGAUACGCACCACCAUUUCUUCCAUCGUACCUGAAAACUUUGAACCACCAAUUUUCCAGCGGACAUCAACUUGGUUUGCUUAGACCCAUGAUGAAAGGUUGCAUUGACCGGUAGAAAAUUUUAGGCUUCUUAUUUGAAAUUUCGGCUGUGACCCAACGCCGUAUAUUUCGAUUUGUUUCUUGGGAAGCGGUUUGGCGGAAUAGUUGCAAAAGUUUUCAAGGAAAACUCGAGCUGCCACAUGCGUAACUCGUAAAUCGACACAGCAGCAGUUCAGCAUGAAGUUGGUUGUCUUACAAACAUAUGGACGGAAAGCACUUUAUCCGGCCCACUUUUUUAGUUAUCUUCGUCCACCUAACUCAUCCCUCCAUCAUCUGCUCUAACUACAAGGAAUUGGAUGAUCUUCUAUACAAAAUGGACCACUCCCGGGAGCGACGAAAUCAUGAAAGUUGGAGAACAGAAAAGAUCUCUCGGCAAAAAAAAAAAAAUCCAGUGUUCUCGGCUUCAUGCAUAGUCAUGGGGUGAACAAUUGUAAAUUGUCCGGCGUGAGAGAUAGAGAGAGAGAGCCUCGGGCCGCAUAAUAAUGCAAUCACCGUCUCUGAAAGUUGUGGACUUUGAUGGAGAUCGCGUACACACUGAAGAAGAGCACGGAGAAGCCAAUUAGAACCAAAACAGUAACACCUGUCAUUCCAGACUCAAAGCCAAGGUACUCCUCAAGAUACUGUUUCACUGUGCCAUCAAAGCCAGCCCCAACUAAUCUGGUUUCAACGUCGCCUAACUGUGAUGUAAUGAUGCCUCGCAGAGUCCAUGCAACAGGGCAUAUAUAAUAAAACCAAAUCCACCAACCAGGGAUAUUCUGUGAGAAAAAAAACCAUAUACCAUACCAUCAUCAACACGAAUCUAUAUGUUGAUCAUCAGAAACCUAAAGGAAAAUUAAAAACAAAAACAGACAAGAAAGUGUCUGGAAAGCUCCAAUAAUAUGACCGUCGCAGACAAAAUAGACAUGUACUUUAGAAGUGGUUAAUAAAAAAAAAUCAAGUUAAAAAUGCAGUUGAGCAGUCAAAUUGCACAAUGUUAUCUCAAAACUUCUAUUGUCUGGUAUCAGAGGGGGAAAUCAAUAUUGUAGACCAGCAGAAUAUAUGUUUGACAUGCAAAUUUAACUGCUGCUGAUUUCUUAGUGGCUGGAUAAUAACAGACUAAAACUUAAAGAGAAUUUGAUAGUAAACCAAAGAUUAACGAAAAUUUAGAUAGUACAUUACCAUAACUAAUAUUUUUCUGCUAAUUAUGAUAUCUGUUAUAGAUAUAAUUCAUAAGAGAGCAAUUUUCAUGUCUCUUUAAAACCCGAGUCAUAGUCAACUUAGACCAUUAUUUUUAUUUUUGAAUCAAAAACAAGACCAUUCAGUUCCUACAAAUCAAGGAAGCAUUUGGACACACCAGGGCAAUCGCCAGAUUAUGGUUGGAAGGCUGUCAUAUCAUAGAAAGACAGUGGUAAAGGGGUUUAGAGUAUAUAUGGUCCAGGAUUCAUGCAACUUCCCAAGAAUGAAAGAAAAAUAAUACACGGCAUGAUCAGGGUCCUAGCUACUUACAGGUUUUGGGACCAGAAAACCUGAGAGAAGGUUCCACAGAGAGUAACACGCUGAUGAAACAACUGCUGCUAGCUGCUGAGAAGGUGUCAAACCAAUUGCCAUCAUUCCAUAGAAUGUGAAGUAGGUGAAAGUGAGGAAAUUGAACAAGAGAUAUAACAAGAAUUUCCCUGCCAAAAUAAAUAAUAAAAAAAAGAAUUAGAGUCUGUAUUAUGUGAAAAAUUAAGUCAUCACAGUCAUGGCAUCAUUUCAGGGAAGUAAGGAACAUGACCAGGAAGCAUAAUUAGCGAUAUGAUUAAUUAGUUUGAAAGAUUCUGAAUGGAUCAUACUUGACACCAGGAAGAAGGCAAAGUAUAGAAAAAGCUGCGAAGUUUGUGAAGAUUCUAAGAUGCAACAUUAUGUACAAUUGGCAAGACCAUGUGGAGGAUGGAUUGGAGUAAUCAUACAUUAAAUCCUUAACCUAACAAUCUCGGACAGCUAUCCUUCUUCCUAUUCAUUCCUAUUUAGGACCAACUGUGUUUGUCGAUGCAAAUCCUGCCAUUUACCUUAGGACUGGCAUCCUACCGAGAUUAGAAUUGAAAUUCUCAAAAGUAAUCAGGAUUUAUCAUGAUAAGGGAAAAAUACAAAUCAUCCUAUUUUUCAGCUAAAUAGGAUGACCAAUUUUCUUUCUCGCAUGGUGUCACAUGAGAGUGCAUUGAAUGUUCAACGGUCAGUGGCAGGAGUUUGCUUUAUCUAAUAAUAUAGAUAGAUACCAUUGAUAAGGUCUAUUUUCUUUGUUGAUGCAAAUCCUGGGACUUAGUUCUAUCUCGGUCUAGAGAUAUGCUUAGCAUGCCAAACAUAUCGUGAACGUUAAGUAUUAAAAAAACAUACUAUAAUCUUUUUGAUCGCUCAAUGGUAACUACACAUGCACCAUAAGCCCCUACUCGACAGUCAGAACUAGGGCCCGGACCGGUUGCCCAGCGGCACGAGUCAAUACGCCCUCCGUACUAUUCCGUGUCGGGCCCGUACCGACACAGUAGAGGUGGGGAAGAGGGAGAACGGAAAAGAGGAAAAGAGAAAGAACAAGGAGAGAGGAGGGUGGCGGAGGCCGGCGAGCCAUGCGGAGGAGGGGCUCCGCCCUGGGUCCCCUUUUUUAUUUCCAUCACUUACUCGAUAAAGCAGCAAUAUUAGCAUGGCUAUCUGGUAGAGACAAGCUACCAAGAUCCUGGAUGGGCAUAAUACAAAGGCCGGAGUCAAGUACCAUGGCUUGACUACGAAUGUGAUAUGGAUGGAAAUAUUGACACUCAAUUUAGAAUUGAACAUAUGCAUGUAUGAUGCAUGUCCAUUAUUUUACAUUUUCAAUGUAAUAGUUAGUUUACUUAACAUGAUUAUAUAGUCGCAACAUUCUUUAGCACGUAAUAUAAAAAUUAAAGUGUAUUACAUUUAAACAUAAAAAAUGGACUCAUAAAAUCCUAUUUUCCACUCAAAACUAAACAAAGGAAGCUCAAAAGCCUUGAUAACAAAAAAAAAAAUUGGUGUACUAGUUUAGUACUAGUACUGGUAUAGUACCAUACCGGUGUCAUAUUGGUACUUAGCCAAGUAUCGACACUACAAACCUUGGUCUCAAUAAAGAACUAUGUGAACAUAUGGUUCCGUUACAGGUAUAAUUUUCAUGCCAACUCCAACGUACCACAUGCCAAGACAAGGGCAUAUUAUACCAUCCUGACUUACCAAUAUGGAGGCCGGUACCGAGAUAGUAUAUCUUGGUGUCUAUUUGUCAUGAUAUACAUGAUUGUGAGAUGAUCUAGAGAUUGAUACAUCAAUCAGAAAAAUUGGAGAGUUUUUGCUUGUUUUUAACUCGUAAUAUAGUAAAGUGGGAUGGUUCUAACCAAAUUUGGUAUGUUUAUUAAAUCUUACCAAUUGCCCUAAAUAUGUAUUAUUUUGUCUUCUAUGCUUUACCUUUUUGCAUGUUAAAGCUCAUUAUUAAAUAAUAAAAAUAUUUAUUAUUUUGAUCUCAUCGAAAUGAUGGAUAUCAAAAUCACAUUGGUCCAACAAAGAGAUCAAAUUAUGUUCAAGAGACUAAGUGUGCUAAGAUAUUUUUCCAUCACUUAAUAGAAAUCGAAGUACGUAGAAGUGGCAAAUAUGCAAAAGACCUUUAAAAAAAUCAUGAUGUGGCCUUGCGAUAGUACAAAUCCAUCAUGCAUCAAUAUCUUUCUUUAAUACUGCCAAGGAGAUUUUAGAUGCUCUUGAUGACACAUCUGCUGAAAAUAAUACAGCUUGAAUAUAUGAGCUAGGCAAAGAAAAAUAAUUUAAAAAAAUGGAGCAGAAGUCUAAGUGGGUCUCAUAGGUUUGUCAAAUUCCAGAAGUUGAUAAUUUUGAAUGAGCUUAUUUGUGACUCAGAUAACUUGGCAAGUGGAAAAGACUUAAUUAUGUUUCCCUUUUUAAUCAAAUUCCACUUCUAAGUUAGUCAAGGUAUAACCAUUUUUUAUUGACUUAAGCAAGUCAAAAUAAGUUAGAACUUACACGAUCAAGCAUAGGUGCUUCCAGUUGUACCAUUUUCUUCUAAUUUUUAAAUUGUAAGCUAUUUUGAGCUUACAGAAUCAAGCAUAGGUGCUUGCAGUUGUACCAUCCUGACUUCCUAGUAUGGGGGCUGGUACCAAGACUGCAUAUCUUGGUGUAUAUUACUCAUGAUAUACAGGAUUGUGAGAUCAUCUAGAGACUGUUACAUCAAGCAGGCAAUUGGGGAGUUUUUGCUUGUUUUCACUCGUAAUAUAGUUAAGUGGAAUGGUUCUAAGUUCUAACUAUAUUUGGUAUGUUUAUUAAAUCUUAUCGGUUUCCCUAGAUAUGUAUUAUUACAUGAUUAUGGAUUUUCACCUUUCUUUGAAUUUUAAAACUUCUAUGCUUUACCUUUUUGCAUGUUAAAGCUUAUUAUUAAUGAGAAUAAUAAAUUGAUUAUUUUGAUCUCACCAAAAUGAUGGAUAUCAAAAUGGCAUUGGUCAAACAAAGAGGCCAACUUACGUCCAAGGGGCCAAGUGAGCUAAGAUAUUUUUCCAUGACUUAACUGAAAUUGAAGUAUGUAGAAAAGGCAAAUAUGCAAAAGAAUUUUAAAAAAAUCAUGAUGUGGCCUUGGGAUAGUACAAAUCCAUCAUGCAUCAAUAUUUUUCUUUAUUGCUAAGGAGAUUUUAGAUGCUCUUGAUGACACAUCUGGUAAAAAUAAUACAGCUUGAAUAUAUGAACUAGACAAAAAAAAUAAUUUUAAAAAAAUGGAGCAGAAGUCUAAGUAAGUCUUACAGGUUUGUCAAACUCAAGAAGUUGAUUCGUGACUUUAAAAAUAAACAGAAAUUAGAUAAUUUUGACUAAGCCUAUUGUGAUUCAGAUAACUUGGAAAGUGAAAAAGACUUAAUUAUGUUAUCCUUUUUAACCAAAUUCCACUUCUAAGUUAAUCAAGGUAUAACCAUUUUUUAUUGAUUUCAGGUCAAAAUAAGUUAGAACUUGCAGAAUCAAGCAUAGGUGCUUCCACUUGCACCAUUUUUUAAUAAUUUUUAAACUGUAAGCUACUUUGAGUUCUCUUGUACUUAAUUUAGGUACUAAUUUGCAUAGUUUGAAAUAGUUAUAGGCUACAUAACCAGAUGGCUGCUAAGCUACCUUACUGUUUUAACUUUUAAGUAUAUUGAUUUGGGAAAGGGAUCUCCCGAAUAUUGAAUAUCUGUUGUUAAACUGGAUCGAAUAGUUUAUGAAAUGGGUGGAGUACCAAAAACUAUAGCCAGAGCAGCUAUUUUAAUAGCUGCAUGCAAAAUGCCUAUACGAACUCAAUUUGUUAUUUCAUGGUAGGGAUAUAGAACUAAAAAAGAGGGAUGUGACACUCUACAGUAAAAGAUGCACCUAGUCAUUCCUUUCAUUAAGUGAAAUAAGAUUAUUUUAUACUCAAUUUUUGUUUUCUCCAGUAGGUAAUUGCUAUGACAGCUAUUGUUUAUAUAAAAAUCACUAGAAUAUGUUUCUCAAAAUUUUGAAUUGAUUAAAAAAAACAAGCAAGAGGAGUUACAUAUUAAAUUUUGCAGUUAUAAAAUCUUUUUUAGGUGAUUAAUUAGAGUAAGGAUAAAAUUAAAGCACAUGGUUGGUCAUUGAAAAUCCCAUGCUUUAACAUCUAUGUAGUUCGGAUAGCAUGUAGGCAUGAAGUUUCAUAAGUUAUUAGCUAUAUGCAUUCCUCUUAUUCUUAUCAAGGCCUUUUUUCUGCUGAUUUUUUUAUCUCAUAUUGCUACAAGUUUGAUGCAUUUAUCUCCAUAUAUAAAUUAGUUGUUUUUAAGUUACAUGAUCUGCCUAAGCACUGACCCUCUCGAGUCAAAUAAUUAUGAGUCAGCAAGUCAAGCCCAGGUAAGAAGAUUUCCAACCUUGGAGUAUCCUAAUAUCUUAUGGGUUUGCAAGAGGAACUUAAAGUCUACCAGCUCCUUACAAAAGAUGUAUAGUGCCAAAAAUAUGAACACGAAGGGUUUCCAAAGUGGCCAAGUUUCAUCUUGAGGUUGGAUCUAAAUAUAUCAACAUUUUCAAGAACAAAUUUCAGCAGGUAAUGAAAUACCAUCACUCAAGUGCUUGACCACACUAAUGCAUCUUUUCCAACAUCAUCCAUGUCUAUUGGUGAUCGAGCAGCCUUGGUUAUGGUUGUGAAGCUGAAAACGACAUGGUGACUGUAAUGAACGAGAAAACUUAUAGUUAUAGGUGUUGUAAACAGUACUGAUGCUACCACCCUCACCUUGGACAUUACAUAUUCAUUAAUAUGUAUUUGUUUAGUAGAAGAUGCAAAAGGAUCUAUGAGGCACUUACAAAAUUAAAAUUAUUUUAGUCAUCUAGUAAAUAAAUAUAAAGGUAUAAAUUGUAAGAAACAGAAAAUAAGGGAUCUAAGCUCGUACCUAAUGCCCUUUCAUAAUUGAUCAUGAAAUAGGUGAUGAAACCAAAUAUAAUAGUUUGCGCAAAAAUGUAUGGAAUCUCUACAAUACCCUGUAAUUUGAGACAAUAUUUAAUGUUAUGUAGUAUGUACUGUUUAAACAAAACCAGGAAAACAUGAUAACAAAAUAAAAAGGAAAACAACCUGUGCUGCUGCAUAAGGAAAUGGCGAGUACAUUCUAGAUGCUCUUUCUCUGUAGAAAACAGUCCUCUCAAUAGAAAUCACGGGCUGUACUGACGAUGCAUUAUUUACUCCAAGAAACAGACAAGCAGCGUAAAGAGCCCCCAUUACAAUUUGCAAGUCCAGUGCUGUUUCCCUACAAAAUAGAUAAGGUCUAUCAUUUGAUACAUGAUACCAUUUUUGAAAUAUGGCAUUUAAUAUAUAAAAUCAUAUGAUUGAAAAUUUUCCAUUAAAUUGCUACACAAGAUUCUUCAGCUAAAUCAAAUAAUUUUGAAAGUAUGUGGUGAGGGUAGUAUUUAGAGUAUCAUGCCUGAAUCUGUCAAGAAAAAGUAGACUUUCUGUAAUAUAAUCCCAUAUCACUUGAAAUAAGCAAAACAGACACAAAAUUGAGUUGUUGUAAGUACUCAUCAUAAUCAGUUGCUUUCUUUUUGACAUGGACCCAUGUCCAUGUGCCAGGUUUGGUUGUGUAUGUACGUGUGGGAUCCUUUUAAUAAACAAAAAGAAAUGGAAUUAUUUGGGUGCUUUAGGCUAAAUCAGUGUCCAGAUGACAUAAGCUGCUUUCACCUAGAAGGGUGGAUGAACAAUCAAACAUAUAGUCAUGAUUAUUCAAGGAAAGACUAUGGCCUACCUCUUUUUUUAUGGAAUUCUAAGGGCACAACUAGAGAUGCUCCAUGACACAAGGAACUCUAGAAGGUGGUGAGGUGAACAAGACUUGUGGUAAACAGGCAUAAGCCUUCCAUGGAGAGAUGCAAGGACAUUGUUCCCUGCAAGUCUUGUUCUAUGCAUCCAUUGGAUUCAACAUAUGUACCUAAAUAAUAAAGCCAGAAACCAUGUCUUGAGCCUCUUGAGUCUUGAGCUGAAAAGAGCUUACAAUUUUGGUGAAGUUAUUCAUCCAUCUAGUUGAGGAGCCCUGCAUUUUUUCCCUUCCUUCUUUCCUCCCUUUAUUACUCACCCCUUUCUCUAUAAUAGAGACUUCUAUUUUUCUACAAUAUAUUUUCUAUCAAAUCUUAAGGCAUCUUGACAUUUCUAUCAAAUUUUAAGGUGUCUUACAUUUCUUUAGUUUGAGAGCCUAAAGGCACACAGGCUGCAUAAUCAUUGAAUACCUGGAACAAACUUUGCAAAACCUCAGACCCACAUACACAAACCACUCUUGAGGCUUGCAUCCCAUUUUAGUGAGAGCAUUUUGUUUACUACUUUAUCCAAUCAAGUCAUUCUGGAGUUUAGUUAAGGUUGUAUUGUUAAUUGUUCAUCAUAUUCUAAUUUUGUCCAUGUGGUUCUUUCGAGUUGCAUUGAAAGAGAGGCAACCAUCCAUGAAUAUACGAUGACACAUCUACUAGAUAAGAUAAGUGAAUAUUUGGUUCAUUAAAAACUGCACAUUAACUCCAAAUCAUAUUCACCUUCCAAUAUCAGCUUAACUCUGGAUUGAUGAUUUUAUAAUCUCAAUUCUCAAUUACUAUAACUCAAUAAAGAUCAUUAAUAUGAUGUCAAAAUAUGUGUGAUGCUUUACAUGUAACCAACCGGCAUUUUAUAAUCACAAUUCUCAAUUACUAGAAGUCCAUAAAGAUUAUUAAUAUGAUGUCAAAAUAUGUUUGAUGCUUUACACGUAACCAACCCGCAUUUUUAAGAAAAUGUAUGCUUGUACAGUGAAAUUUGGUUCAUAAGUGACUUUUGGUAAACUUAAUAUAUGAAGCUGGAGACAAGUUUUACCUUAGCAAUGCAUAAAUUACUAAAUGGAUCUAGUCGUGGAUUUUAGUCUAGAGAAGCUUACUUUGUGAGACUUGGACUCCCUCAAGCCACAGCCAUAUGUAGCAGAUUGCAUGAUAAAUCAUUUAAAAGUCCAUGAGAGAGCAUGGACAUAAAGCAAAUCAUAUUCUAAAUUUGCUUACAUCGUUUAUAUUGCUUAUAAUAGGUACCUCGCCAUGCAAGAUAAGCGAUAUAGUUAAGAACAUGAAGGAGAUCUAUGAAGAAAUAUGGAUGCAAUUUUAAAUUCAUGUUCAAUACAAAGAACCAACAUAUGUUAAACAUGUCAAAAGUCUUCAGGAGGGUCGAUUGUUUAUGGUCAAAGAUUAAAGUCCCAGGUCCUCUCCAACGGUCUUGGACUAGAUCAAUGAGACAGUGGGUCCAGGGAAGGGUCCAGGACCUGGUACAUGAAAAACCAGGCUGUCACAGUUGGGACUAGCCAGUGCAAACUAGAACAAAGAUCAGAAAGGCCAAUACCCAUUACCCACUGUACCAAGUUUAGGACAGCCUAACAUCUCAACAAUUCACUGAGAUGCCUUUUUUUCUUUUCUUUGUUGGCCUUAGUAGUUGUUUGGAGAUUUUUUUUUUUGUUUGUCAUAAUUUAGGAUUAGGAGAUGCAUUUUCAGGUUUGGCCUCAGCCUCCAGGCCAAUUACCUGACAAGAGACCAUGUGCUGGUACAUUGUAUAAAUACAAGACAAUAUAACAAGAGAAAAGCGAAAGAGAGAAGAAGAGAGAGAUCUCAGGUCAUGGACGCCAUAAACCUCAUAUACCAAAAUAGUGCUGGUACCAAUAUCGGCGCCAUAAACCUAAUCAUUGGCACAAAGACCUCCCUCGAUCUUAAAUUAUGACAAAUAAACUGUAAAACCUUUAUAAUCAACCACUGAAAACAAUAACAUAAAAGCUAAAGAAAAGCUAAAAACACAUCAUGGUGAAUUACCAGGAUGCCAACCCAUCCCAAGUGUUGGGUCAAUACCAUCCUUAUAUCGUCCCAACUCCCAACUCAUUCCCUGACCAAUACCAGGUCUCGAACCAGGAUUUGAAACCUUGUUUAUGGUUCAAUUAAAGAAAGAAAGAGUUCCAUGGAAAAUUAAUAGCAAGCUUGUCUAAAAGAAGAUUGGUCAAUGCAAGAUGUCUUGGAACUGACUUGCAUUGCAUUAUACAGAAUUACAAGAAAGUGUCUAUGUUUAAUGAAGCAAAUAUCAUGAAAUAUCAGGAGUAUGAUGUGUUAUGUCAACAGCAUGGUAAAACUGUUUAUGAAGCCAAAGAAGGUUAGGAAAAUUUUGCAUGGCAGUAUUUUAAAUUAAGCAUAAUAUCUUAUAAGCACUACAUGGUAGGAAACGGGAACUAUCAAAUUUCAAAUCCUUCCUAGAUUUCACAGUCUAACUUGCAAAAAUAGAUGUAGAAAUCACCAAGCACAUUUUAACAAACUUUACUUAAGGAUGAGUUCUUUAGUACCUGAUGUGAUGGUGCAAAUCUAAAGCUCAUGUGGAGGUCAUUAAUGGCUAACAAUUUAAAAGAGAUCACACAAAACAAAACCAAAACCAAUUUAAGGCAAAAAUAUGGGGUAUUCCAAAUGAUAACAUUCUAAGUGGCACCAGCCACCAAAAAUUUAUUUUUGGCUACAACUCUCAAUGGUUCCUGGUUGAAUUAAGGAGAAUUUCCACCAAGGGUGUCGUUACCAUGUAAACAAGUUUAUUAGCAAUUUAUGAUAUGAAGAAUCCUGCAAAAAAAUGUGUUCUAAUAAUUUAGAACAAUCAUUUUAUGGUGCUUAUUCCCUUAGCAGCACCCUUAAAGCUGUUAUCAAAAACAAUAAAUUCAUGUUGAAUGUACAAAGCUAGUAUGUUUGUAGACUAACAAAUGCUAAAGAUGAUUAUACAAACUACAGAAAAAUUUAAAUAGAAAAUGAUUUAUAAGUGAUCUUUAUUGUCUUAUAGAAAGCAUAAGUUAACAUGCAAGGUAAUUUGGUGAAAGUUGUGAGAGGCAUAUCGCAAGGUUUUAAGUGCCGGAAAGCACAUACAAUUGCUAAAAUUAACUAGACAGUUUCCAGUGAUGUGUGCGGACAUUAAUGAACUUAAAUAAUGAUAUGGUGUGAGAACUUAGAUUAAUGAUUGUCAAUCUCUAGCCGAUAAGAGUUAGAUAAAGAAAUUUAAAACUAUGCAAGGAUAAAUACGUAGAAAUGUGCCUUAGUAUGUUAUAUAAUCGGAGCUUGUUUAGUGAAUAUCAAAAGAAAGAUAACAAUAAGGUUCACAAAGUUGGAUAAUUGAAUUGUAGAGUGAUAAAUUGGGAAAUAGCUUUGGAGUGUUCAUAAAUGUUAAGCUAAGCAUUUAGCAAGGACCAAAGAUUGAACACCAAGCAAUUUGGCACAUACCUAUCGAAAUAUACUAUACCGAGACCCAUGUCGGUUGGCUACCGGUUUGGUAUGGUACCGGUUUGGUAUGGUACCGGUUUGGUAUGGGGUGAACUAGGUGGUUCACCCUGGUUCAAUAGACCAUAAUUUAAGCCUUUUAAAGAGGUAGAGGCCCCGAACUAGUUCAAACUAGUGUGAACGAAGAGGUUAGCACCAGUUUUGCUCUGAACCGCCUGUUCUGGGCGGUUCAGGAUGGUUUGGAGAGGAUUUCAAAAUUUAGGGCCGAACCGACCUGGUUCCCCACCAAUUCGGUUCGGUAUGAGGUGAACCAGGCUGUUUGAUCCGGUUCGGCAUAUCUUGGUACCAGGCAAGGUUGGUCGAACCAAUAAGAGAGAGAGGGGUCCAUGAAGAGGCGGAGAAGGAGAGGAAGGGGAGGAGGAGGAGGGAGGGAGAGAUAGAAAGAAAGGGGGUCGAAGGCAGUGACCUCGAGACCUUGGACCUGGCUGAGGAAGUGGACCUCCAACCAUUGGAGAUGGGGGUCCUGACUAGAAAAAUAGCUCAACCAAGUACACCUCAAAGCUUGGGAAGGUGGCCAUGGAGCUUUAGCUGCAAUAGAGCACCACCGAGAGGUUUAUUCCAAUCGGGAUGAUCGCUACUGGAGAGCGGGGAGAGGGAGAAGGAGAGAGAAGAAGAAAGUGUUUCGAGCAAACUAGGACAUGAUCGAGAUAACCUGUCGCAAGGGCGAGUUUCAUAACCCAAACCAACCAGCAUUGCUGAAUGAUCCCAACUUGGUGUCAAUUCGGUUCGAUACAGGCCAAAUUGCCUAGUACGGGUCGGUUCAGCGAUCCUUGUUACCAAGGCCCUCAUGAUAUAGGUAGGCUCAAGUGGAUACAUGGAGGCUUUGUCCAAGCAGAAACCAUCCAAACCACUUCCAAAUCUCCUGAACCAAGGAUGGAUCGAGCAUUUCGGGGAUGGAUAGAAGAAAAUUUGUCCAAAAUCAAAUCUUGGAUUGCUCCUGAAUUGAGAGGUACAUAAGAGCUCAAGAAGUGGGUUAAAGGGUGGAUUUCGCUUGUUUUUAACCAUUUGAAGGUGAAAAUAAGAGGUAAAGGGGACAAAAAAAAUUCUACAGGGAGUUCACAUUGUAUUAACUAAACUAAAACCAUAUUUAACCUAGAACAAGUUAAUUUUUUUCGUGUACCUUUUCUAAAAAUAUUCAUCAGUAAUGGGACCGUUAAUUUCUGACUGCUUGGCAAAACUAGGGGAAACCUCCACCAAAUAGAUAUUAAAUGUUAUUUCAUCACCUGAUUCAUGCCCUAAAGCACAAAUCCAAGAUAAGUUAAUAAAUUUCAGGAUCAGUUAUAACAAAAAUAUCCUUUAAAUGUACUUUAUGUUGCAACUUAUGUGAUGUUAUGUGAUAUUUACAUAUGUUUAGGACUUCAGCACAUGCAAAACUCUUGACUAAAGCAACUAAAUUGAUACUCACAACUUAUUCCUUAAAAACAUGUGCACUUUGACAAGCAAGCAUGGCAAAAAAAUCCAAUAUCAGAAUCUGGAGGACAGAAAAGGAUGUACUAAAGAUGUUUGGUGAAUUGUCUAUGCGUACUUAUUGAUCCCUUUGUCUGUAUGGUCCUCAAAACAGCAUGUCUUACCCUCCUUCAGUCAAUAGAGUAUCAAUUAUCGGUACUUCAAACCUUGGUAAGGACUGAGUUAGACAAAAGUACUUAGGAGGUUUACUCAAGGUAAGGAAAGGGAGGACAUGGCAUGCAUUACCACCCAAUAAGGUGCCUUGGUCAGAAGAUCUUGGGUUUGCAUGGUAAAAUCGGAAAAGAGAAGAAGGCUUAUAAAAUCCUUUGAGGUAGGUUGAAAUGAAAGCUAUGAAUAACUAAACUUCCAUCGGUAGAGGCGAAUCCCUAGACAAAAGAAGGGUGAAAAAGAAUAUAAGCCAAACACAUAUAGAAGGGGACGAGUCUAGUUUAUAUUCUUAUGAAAAAAUAAUGGGAAACAUGAUCAAUUAACAGAAUCUCGUCGCUGCAUUAUUAAUUGUAUUUAAAGGAAGAAUUAAUAGAAGGGGAAGAACUCAAAAAUAAGUAAAUAGAGCAUUUAAAGAAAAAAAUCAACCAGACUACGCAAAAAUUGUAAGUAAUCAUUUGAUCUGUAAAAAGAAUGCAUACAGCAAAAUGGAUGAAAAUUGGACUACCUUUUUGAACCAACAUUCCAAAACACAGAUCCAAAUAUCAAAGAAGAAAUUGUGGUGAAGAACAAGCGCACAGCGUUAUAUUGUGGACUUCUCCAGUAUACAAGAUUUUGCUUCAAAUAGCAGAUUUUGAAUUGGGUCACAGUGUCUUGUGAAAAUUCUGAGGAGAAUUUCAACGGCUCUGUUCCAGCAGCAGGAGUGCUUAAUUGAUGAAUCAAAUCUUCAACUUCCCUAAGGCAACGAAUUAAGUAUUUUCACUUGUCCAUGGCAAAAUGCAUAAAAAAAGGUUACGAAACCUUAUUGCAAAAAGUUUUCAGUUUGCUACAACAAUACUCACCUGAAUUGAUCCGAGUUUCUGUACACAGUAGCAAAGUCUAGACCAAGCCUUUCCUCACAUGCUUGUGUACUAAUUUCCAGCAUCCAAGUUGCUGGAUUAUAACCAUUUGGGAUAGGAGGAACUCCAGGAAUCUCCUGUAUGUAGAAGACAAGUACAUAUUAACUGGAUCAUUCAGAAUAAAAAUAAAUAUCAGGUCUUUAUGUCACAUUUUAUUAGCAUAUCCGAUGAUGUGGGUGUCUCGAUCUAUCAACAUUACCAUUCCACUUAAUUAUUCACUGUGUCAAGCUAACAGAAGCGAAGAGGAUACAAAAUUUGAGUCAAAGUUGCUUUUUUAACCAUAACAGUGGCAUAAUGCUAGCACACGGCAUAUCAGUAUUCUAGAAAUAAUACUGGAUGUAGUAGCCUGAAGUUGAAAAUGGAUUAAAGCAUAUGAAGUUCCGGAUGCAGAGUGAGGGAGAUAACACCUAUGAGAUUAUUCAAAAGCCAGAAAGCCCACGCAAACUUAUUAGACAAAAGCACAAAGCACAAAAGGUUACUCAUUUGGUCAUUAGACUAUGCCAUAUGUUUCAACAGAUGGAAAGUAAACUUGUAGAAAUAUAUUGGCUUAGAAAAUGAGCAAAAAACCAGCUUUCGAAAGAAAGGCCAUAAAUAUUAUACAGCAGGUUUAGAAAAUGCAAUAUCGGUGGACAAGAUUUGGCCUAUCCAUGCUGUAGGUUAAGACUAAUUAAAUAGAAUAAUAGGUUAGGGAUCAUGCAAAUACGAGAAAAUGCCUAUAACUCCUAACUCAUGUAUGGCAGGCCGCAGGCAGCAGAUUCUCGACACUCUGACAACUCUCUCUUCUCUAUGCAUGAGUCAUAGUACAACAUGUGCCCAUGGGAAAAGAUAAACAUGAGUGUUGUUAUACACACACAUAUAUAUGCACACACACAUACAUACCUAUGUAUGUAUGAAUGUAUAUAUGUAUAACAAGCAGUAGUAUCUUGGUGUUCGGAAGCCAUAUUCAAAAUAGAGUAAACAUGAGGAAUAAAAUGAGCAUUCAACCUAUACCUAUUUAAAAUCAGAUCUUUAAUUUCAAAUCAAGCAGCUUUUAUACAAAUUAAAAAUGGGGGGAAAGUAACAUGCAUCUUGUGUUAUAAUUUUGUAAAAACACAAGAUGCAUCUGACUGUAGAAUUGGAGGGCAUUAGACUUCUCAUCACAGAAGGUGCUAUUUUCGUUACAGAAGAUUCCCUUUCCUUGAAAGAACAUAACUGAAUAACUAAAGGAAAACCUACUUCCCUACACAGAAGAAGGGAAGUGAGGGAGGUGGUGGUGGUGGUUGUGGUUUCUGUCGGUGUGGGUGCACAUGUGGGUGGAGGAGAGAUGUAUAUGGAGGUGGAGAUCAUAUACAAUGCUACCUGAAAGUAAUCAAUCAUCCUUUGUGAGUUCACACCUAGCAAGCCUCCAUAUAUGACACGGCCUCCACGUUUCAUAAGAAGAAGCUGCACCAUAAUAAAGAAGGUGAUAAGAAAAAAAAGGUUUGGACUUUGGAAGAAGUAUCAUAGUGGAUAAUUACAAUAUAUACCGAAACUAAAUGGUUUAUAACCUCAUCAAAUGCUUCAAAUAUAUCAAUGCUCGGUUGGUGUAUAGUGCAAACAACAGUUCUUCCUGUAUCAACCGUGUUGCGAACAGUACGCAUCACAAUGGCUGCAGCACGUGCAUCUAAUCCGGAUGUAGGUUCAUCCAUAAAAAUAAUAGAAGGAUUUGCGACUAGCUCCACAGCAAUGGUAAGACGUUUUCUUUGUUCAGUAGAUAAGCCAGUACUUCCAGGCAAGCCUACCAAUGCAUGUCGCAGACCAUCAAGCUCUACUAAAGCCAUCACUUCCUCAACAAAUGCCUGCAGGGAAGGAUCUCAGAUACACAUUAAAGGUAAAAUAAUGGAAAAGAUGAAGUUAGAGUAUUGGCAACUAACAAGUCUAUUCUCUUUGGUGAUUUCUUUGGGAAGGCGAAGACUUGACGAAAACCAGAGAGAUUCUUCAACUGUUACUUGAGGUGAAUGUAUAUCAUUUUGUUCAACAUAUCCUGAUAUUCUAGCAAAGGUGCUUUGUUCUUUUACAUACCCAGAUAUUCUUAUAUCACCCUCUAUAUAUCCACCAGUCUUCCUCCCAGCAAGCACAUCCAUAAGUGUUGUCUUCCCAGCUCCACUUGAACCAACCAAUGCUGUCAAGACGUGUGGUCUAAACACUCCACUCACAUUGGACAGUAGCUGCAACCGUGUUUCAGGAACUCCUUUCAAUUUCAUUUCCUAUGAUUUUACAGAGGAUGAUUUGUCAAAAUAUUAUAAGUCUUAACAUUUCUUCUCGAAAAAUCAUCUAUCUUAACCAAGAUUCGCCGUCUUGGUACCGGACCCCGUACCGGUGCCACACUAGCAUAGUAUCGGUACGGUAUGGUACGAAAUUUUUUUGGCGUACCAAGGGUCAGUACACCACUGGUACCCGUACUGGUACCAAACCAAUACAGUGCACUUAGUACCAUCCGGUUCAGUACAGUACGACAUACCAUGAUCUUAACAUGAAGCAAGAUAAACAAUUAUUAGCUAUCAACCUUCGGCAUAUCAACAAAGUAAUUGACAUUAUGAAAUGUCAUGGAUAAUGGUUGGAAGGGAAGAAUCAUUCCUCUCCUCGGGGUACUUCCCUCCAAAGUUCUCAUUUGAAAUGACUCGGGCAUGCUACUUCCUACUGCAAUCACCAAGAGUUCCACAAGUUAUUUAAAAUGAAAGCAAAAGGUUUCCAGGAACAUUUACAAAAUAAACAUGAGCUAUAGAAUGCAUCUGCUGCAACAGGAGAUCACCUUUAGAUCUCAUUUCAGAGUUAGUGCCUAAAUCAAUCUCUUCCUUCUUUUCUGCAGAAUCAGAUGGGAUCACUGCCUGUGCCUUUCCCAGUGCUUUGAUGACAUCAAAAAAUAAGUAAGAAAUUCUAUCAAGUAAAAAUGAAACUAAAGCACAAUAGAAUACAAAGUAGGCAUAUCAGCUAAGCAUAUUACUGCUGGGAAAUUUAAAAAACAUUAGACUUACGGUUAAGGUAUGCAAGGGCAAGGGUGCACAAAAUGUUGAAAAGGAUAGAAUAUGCUAAUAAAACACCAACACCAAGCCAAUACCAGUACUUCUGGGUGGGCAGACCAUGUAAAUGGAGAACAUUGUUCCCAACUGUAUCAGUUCCAUAAACAGAUCUCUGUCAUCGAACAGCACAGGUAACAAGAAUAUCAAUUAGGUCUCAUGAUUAUUUCAACGACAAUUAAUGAAAGAAAAGGGUGGGGAAAAAAGAUAACCCACCUCUUUCCAUCUAGAGGCAGUGAACUCAUUAACUGAAAUUGCACGUUGUCCAUGUGUUAAUGGAGAAAUCCAGAAUGCCCAAAUCCACCAUGGUUUGAUUGCAUCUGCAAUAAUGAAACUAGUGAAAAAAACUACCACUAAAAGGAAAGAUGGAAAUUUUAUUAGUUAAAUACAUGAAAAAUAGCACUAUUGAUAGUGCAAUAGGUGGAUGACAGAGAGGACCAUCAAACAAUUCAUUCAUUAAAAAAAAUGAAGCAACACAAUCAGAUCACCAAUUCAUCUUAUUAUCAGAUCACCAAAUCUAACCUUUUGGAACGAUAAAUCCCCCCAGCAAAAAUAUAGCUAAUAUUGCAAAAGAUCCAAAUGUAUUGGCGAUAAUCACAUCACGUGCAACAGAUGCCAUCAUCCGGAAAAGACCCAGUGCCAUUUGGUGUGUGGAAAAAAGUAAAAACAUGAAGCGGAAAAACCUGAAGGUAAAAGAUACUGUUAAAUACAGACUAUGGCAAAAUUACCUAACAAAAAUAAUGUAAGAAUACCUCCCAAAACUUGGUGCAAAUCCUACUGGGUAGUAGACUAUACAAGACCACACAACAGCUUCAACAAUGGAGUAGGGAAUACGUAAUAUCCAACUAGGAAUUGAAAAGACCCAAGCAGGAUGAAAUAAAUUGUCUCUCUGCUUAUAGAAAACUGGCAGUCGGGUUAUAGUGAUUGGAAGCUCAGAAAAUCCAUUGAACAUCAUGUGCACCAAUCCAAAAAACAAACAUGAAAGAUACAAAUUUCCAUUUUUCUCAUCAACGGGAUGUAUCCUCGUGCGGAGAAACAUUGUGCAUGUGAUGACUCCCACAAAUGCAACCUGCAUCAGAUGUGUCAAGCAACAAUUAUUACAUAAUAAUAAAUGAGCGUGGGCAGAAAACACUUCCAAGUUAAAUGAAUAAGGGUUGUACACAAUGUGGAAGUAGAAGAUGUUCAACAAAUGAGUCUCUUUAAAUGUCUGCAAUGAAGCAAAUUUAGUUUCUAUGAAGGACGUACACCCAAAUAUCAAAUUACUCAGGUAUAUCAAAGAUGUGAGAAGUUUUAUCCCUGCAAUAAAUACUUAUGUUUUUUUUCUCUCGCGACCUUCAGCAUAGGAGGAGGGGGAGGAAAGGUACAAUCAUGUAUUGAAAAAUAAAAAAUAUAAGCAUUAAUUGCUUUCAUGGUCCACAUUAUAUGUUUUAACUGCAUAGGAGCAAGGUUCACAAUCUUAGUACCGAACCCCUACUGAUACCAUGUUGAUACAGUAUCACUACACCCCACAUGUUGAUCGGUUCAACAUACCAACACCCGAUACACCCCUUGUACCGAGUAUUGGUUCAGAAUUGGUAUAGUAUAGUAUAGUAUUGCUCAAUAUUCGGCGGUAUGUACUGGUAUCGUGAACCUUGCCUAGGAGCUUCCAAAGGUAGAAAGGAGAACUUAAAGAGCACAACUAACAAUAGCUCAUCGACAAGUUGUUUCCAACCUAGGGUCCUUAAUGUAACUACAGAUCAGCCAGCAGCAUGCAAACUGGCAAUCAAGAUAAUUCUGGAAAGUGACUUCUCCAGAUUUUACAUCACUCAAAAUGCCAGAACCAGACAUAGAAGGAAAUAGUCAUUAUCAAGUCACAUCUAUUAGAUAAAUCUAUCUAGAGUGGAUCAUGAGUGCGAUAUUAAGGCCAUUACAAAGCACAUCUUGAAUGAUUCCGAUGAAGUCUCAUUUUGGUUAAAAGUUGUAACUUGCUUUUGUUUCCAAAACUUAUCUAAGACAGCCACUUAGCUGCCUAGGCUGUCCCACAAGAUCUGGCUGGAACACUUUGCCUUUAGCUCUAGCAUUUUUGAGACAUUUACACAAGGUGGCUGCCCAAAAGCUUAGUCAGCACUUGUCUGCCUAGGUUACCCCCCUUGUUUGAUGAGCAUCUUGUUUUUUGGUUUUUUAUGUCACUGAAUUUUUAACCCAUUUUCUUCAACUAAAUUAGUAUUAUUUGAGAGCAAAUAAGUGGAACGCAUCUUACAGUACUUUUAUAAACCACCUAAAGAUGAUUUUAUUUUAAGAUCACAACAAUACAUCUUUACCUUCCAUCAUCCAACAAAUAAAGCCAUCCAUCUAUUUUAAGACAACUUUGUCUGACAAUUUACUAGACUGUAUUUAUAGGUUCUGUAGCAUCUCUACGGCGAGCGUUUCACUAUCUAUGUGAAUUUUGUUCUUCUUUUGUUAGGCAAAUAUAUUUUGUUGUUUAGUACAAUAAUUGAUCUUUAUGAUGUGUUCUCACAAAUACUAGUUAUGUUAAAUCAAGUUUUGUUUCAAAACUUUGGAUACUUUAAACAAUAUAACAAGAAAUUUAUUAUGUAAGUAAAAUUUAGUAAUGGAACCAAAAGGUCCACUAAUGCACAAAUUAACUAUUUAACGCCCUUCCCAUUUACCUAUCUGUUGUUCUUUGAAGAACAACUAACUUUACUAAUUCUUUGGGAGUUUUUACUCCAACCACUGGCUUAGGCUUUUAAGUGGUUCACCAGCUAGGCAUUUAAUUGAACCUUGUUUGUGUUAAUUAACUCCCUCAAAUAAUUUUGAAGAUUAAGCCAUUAUUAUUUAUUUUAUGACAAGGUCCACAAAUAGCAAGAGAAGUUCAAAUUAAGGAGCAGAUCAUUUUCAAGGUCAUAUUAUAGAUCGUACUAUCUUCACAAUAGCACGUCUUACUCUCAAAUGCUAACAUCCUUAGAUAUGAAAUGGACUCUCAGAAGACUGAAUGUAAAAGAUGUUCAUGCAUUAUCAUAACAGCAUGAAUACACACAUUAAUUCAUGCUUGAUAGUUGAUAGUCUAUAUAUAACUGAAGUUUGCUUGCAAUUUAAACCAAAAGGCACUCUUUCUGGCAUAGAUCUAAUAUUUGGCUCAAGUCCAUUCGGGACUCACCACCACCUCAUUUGUUAUUUUCUGAAUGCUAAGAUCCAUCAAAGAACGUAGAAUUCUGUGACAUGUAACAUAACUGAAAGUACAGUGCCAUAGCAUGCUACAUGCAAAGCAGAUUUAUCUUAAGUUCUUAACUCUUUAAGAAUCCAUCAAAAACAUAAGAAAUUCGAAAAAAAAUAUUGAAGCAUACUUGACAUGUUCUAAAAAUGUACAGGAAACGAUGUCGAGAGAUAAGAAGCAGUUCCCGAGAGAAGCAUGCUCCUAGAAGGUCUCUUGUUGAUAUAGCAAACUUUGUGCUGGCAAGAGCAGAGGGGAGAAAUUUUGUCUCAUCAUUAGGAACAGAGAGAAUGGAUUCCACAGAUUUUCCAUAUUCAGACUGUCUGAAUGCCUCAGCAAUUUCUGAAACAGGAAGAAACUCAUAGGGCUUUGAACGAUCAGACCAAUACUGGGCUUGAUCCUUUCUAGAGGUAACCUGAAGCACAAAACUCAUUUUAAAUACGUAAAAUUCAGUAAAUAUUUAAAUCAAUAUGAGAAGGAUACCUCUUGGAGAAAGUCUGCUAUUCCUUUGCGAGGUGGCAAGGAAAAGCCUAAUGAUUCAAAGAACCCAAGGACAUGUUUCCUGGGACCAUGGUAAACAAUAUGUCCUUCAGAUAAUAGUAUAAGAUCGUCAAAAAGAUCAAAUGUCUCUGGUGCAGGCUGCAGAAGAGACAUCAGCACAGUUGCCUCCAUUUGAUGAACAAAGUUCCUCAUGCACUUCACAAUUUGAUAUGUAGUAGAGCUGUCGAGUCCUGUAGAUAUUUCAUCCAUGAAAAGUGUUUUUCUUGGUCCAACUAUCAUUUCUCCUGCAUUUAGAUACAUAAUAAAAAUGAGUAUACUGGUUUUUGCAGACGAAAUUUACCAAAGAAGAUAUGAAAAUCACAAUAUGAGACACAUCAUACACUAACUAAGGAAUGAAAACCAUACUAGAAUUUUUUGUUUAUGCAUAAGCAAGUAAUUGUUCGCGUGUUGUAAGCAGAGCAAGAUUGGAGGUUGGGGAGUUUUUUAUGUUAUAGCUAGAUCCAGGUUAUAACCAAAAUAACUUGACACAUUAAGAUAUAAUACUUGGAAAUGGAUAUUUUUCAUACAUUAAGAGAAACUCUACAGAAGAAUGUAAUGAUUUUUUAAACCAAUCAAGGUAUCAUAAGCACACAGAGAGAUUGUUUUGUCAUGUAAAGACUAGAGCUUGUAGCCAGAAAAAGAAGCCUAUGAUUAUCCUUUACUUAAAAACAAUGCUAUGACCAAGCAUUUGUCCUGAAUUUAUAGUAGAUCUGAGAGGAUUUUAGUUUGGCUCCUAUUUCUGUUGGAUUGGACCAGUAAUUCAGGUUAUGUUAAACUAAAGCACAUAUCGUGUCCAGAAAAUAAGGUUAUAUAAGAAGAUAUAGAUAUGUGAUUUAAACAGAGAAACAGAGGUGUCAUAGUCAUACCUGUACUAGCAUGUGUUUGAAGGUGCAUUGGCCCUAAAUNNNNNNNNNNGGAAUACUUGGCGAAUGUGAAUCCAUAAAACCAACCCAAAUAGUUGGAAAAAGGUUCGAUGAUUAUGAUCAGGACCUGUAAUCUCGGUACCGGAUACCGUAUUGGUACCUUACCAAUUUGGUUCAGUACGAUACAGUACGCACCUUGUACCAAAAUAGCUCUCUAACCAUUUUUCUCAAUUUUUAUCUCAGUACGCCUUGAUAUAGAUCAGUACGCUUCAGUAUGAGUUGGUACGUACCUCGGUACGCCUCGAUAUGGAACAGUACGAGACUUGUACCGACUCAAAGUUGAAUUCAUACCAAUUUCCUUCUGGUACGGUAUGGUACACCCCAUACCAGAUGGCACGAGGCAGUAUGGCACACCAUGAUUAUGAUUAUGAUGAAUCAUUGAUCAAUGAGCCUAUUGCAUUUUUUUAAAGUCCUAUGGGCUGUCUGAUAUCAUAAUCAGAAACUAGCAAGAGGAUGCAUGCUAGCUCAUUUGAUUAUUGGUCAACAGGGACAAAGAUUUAACCACCAUUGACGUACUAAGUCUAAACUUUUAUGAUGUGAAGUCCAAACUCUUAUGUGAAUCUAUAAUGGGAAGAUAUGGUAUUUGAUAGUUGCUAACCAGUAAUCAGCCAAACUAUAAAUCACACACUCUUCUUACUUUUGCCAGCUUUAGGUAUCUCUUAGAAUGAGCAAAUAUUUGUUUAGUCCAACCUUCAAAUAAUCAGGAUAAGCAGCAAAGACUCUUAUGAUUAGUAAUGGAAUUGUUUGUUUUUUGGCCAGAAGAGAUGUUCCAAUCCAAAGAGUCCAAGUUAGAAGAUAGUUAAGGAUAAUUUCAUACACCUUGCAUGGCUGUCUAGGAACUGUGACAAUGCUUAAUUUUAGACUUUGAUAAACAAACCAGUCAAGCUAGAGAAAAGAUAGAAAAGCUAUACAUAUGAGGCUUGUAUAGACAAUAUGUGACAUGAAAAACUAAUAUCAACAAUCUGUUUCAGUUGCAUAAAGAUCCAUUCAAAAACAUUGAAGACAAUAACCUGUUGUCACUCGUUUUUUCUGACCACCUGAGACACCCCUGACCAUAUCACUACCAACCAGAGUAUCAGCACAAAUGUCAAGACCGAGUACUUUUAAAACAUAAUCUGUUGCAAGGUUGUGCUUUGCACCUCCAAUUGAAGCAACCUAUUAAAUAAGACAUAUUUCGACAGAAGUGAUUAGUAAAAUAAACGGUAACAGAAUUUUAUUUAGCAAGUUAGCAGGGGGCGCGGAUAAUGACCUUCAUAAAUGCAUCAAUUUCUGGACUUGGAUGGAUGUUCUUUUCCUCCUCAAGCCUGACCAGAUCUUUCAAAUACCCUGUAUACAUGAAAAAUAAAAUAAUGAACAAAAGAUAAUCUACAAAAAAAAGGCCAUUGCCCAGCUAUAGUCCUGACCAAGGUCCGCCGAACCGGUACCAGAACCCAUACCAGUCGGUGCCCGGUUUGGUACGGUAGUGGUAAGGCAUGCCGGUCACGCCCUUUUUUUUUGGAGUUCUCAAAAAAUUUUAAUUGGCAAUCACUCUUUUCGAACUUUUUCUAUGAAUUUAGUCUAAUUUGAUAUUUUUUGAUGUUUUCUUGAUAUUUAUUUGAUGUUUUUUUAUGUUUCUAUAAUUCCAGUUUAACCUAGAUAAUGCAUCUUAUUGCUUUAAAAUAAUACAAUCAUAAAAUGAACAUAAAAUAUCCUCAAAUCAAGUAGUGAUAUGAAAAUUAAAAAAUAAUACAAUCAAUUACAUACUUUUAAAGUCCAACAUACAUACCGAUAUCUAAAAUCUGGUCGAGUGGCAAUAGGAGAGAGGAAGCAUACCUUAUUUAGCAUUGGAUUCUCCUUCUGAUAGCCUGAAUCGGUAUUAUUUGUGGAUUUUUUGGGAAGAAAAAGCGGCAGAGCCGCUUUCAAAGGCCUUUAAAAGGCAUCAGAUGGCAGUGGCAAUAAUUCCAUAUCCAACCCAAUUCGAAACCAAGUUGACUCGGUGCGAAUUGGCCGGUUCGCACCGAGUCGGCACCGAAUCAAUCGGUUCUGGACGGUCUAAUAGCGAUUCCGGACGAAACCGAAUAGAAUAGCCAAACCAAACCGAUUUAGCACCAAGUCAGCUCGGUACUGCCUGAUCCGGGCAGUUUGGCCCGGUUCGGCAGACCCUGGUCCUAACAGACUGGGGCAGACCUAACUUUUUCUUUUGAGGGUGGGUACAAAGUGGCUGCCUCAAGACUUAAAUCCGUGCCAUUGCGCUUGUCAGCCUAAGCCUUUUACCAUUGCACCAAACAAUCGCUCCUCAACAAAAAAUAAUCUAAAAAGAAAAAAAAAUAAUCAAAACCAUUUGCAUAAGGCAAAACUGCAUAUGAAUUAUGAUAUCUAAAUAAACCGAUCAUUAAUAAAGAAGAUGAUAAUGAAUUAAGAAUUAUGUAGAAAGAAGCUCCAAUAACUAAAAGUCCAACCAUGACCAAAGAAUUCUCAAAUCAGUAGAGGCAAAACUUAAACUGAAAAAAGAAAGCUAAAAUUAAGGCAAAGUGGCCUACAAAAGAAGCAACUCCAAUGGGCCAACAUCUACAAAAAAAAAGUGAUUGAGAAUCUAUUGCUUAAUGGCAGGAAAAAUAAUAAGUUUGGAGAUCCAUCAACAAACACAUGGAUUAGCAACUAACACAACCGGGGAGCAAAGCUACCAAAACUUGUAACUAGCUAGCUUUCAACACAACUGAACAAUAUGAUCAUAAGCUUUGCAAUGGUGGCAUAAUGUGAUCCGAUCGGGGAGAAGAAAUAUUUCCUUCAACCUGCUCAACUUGAAUCUCUCAAAAGAAAACUAGAAGAAUACAAAAGAAUUGCGAAAGUAGGGUUUAAGUCCCAUUUUCUUUCAUUGAUGAUUAAAAAACCAAAAUACUUGGCCUCUAUAAUGGUGAGAUCCGCCCUUACACAAUUUGGAUUGGAUUUCUAUCCUAAUCCUAAUAGGACUCUUUCUUGAAAUAGACAUUACUAGUAGAAAUCGUCUAGAAAAAGCUAAAAUUCUUAGAAAGAUAGAUCUCGACUUCUACAUCAACUCUACCUUCUGUCGCUCCGUCUGACUCUUUUCGGAUAGAUAGAAAGCUACGCUCAGUCAAAGUCUUACAUUAAAAAAAAAACUUUAGAUUUGACCAUCCCGUUUCAGACCCAAAAAGAUAGAAUUUAAGCUCAAUCGCUAAAGGUGCCGCCCCCUACAAGGUGUGGCAUCAUAUCAUAUAUCUCAAAAAAUUGCCCAAUUUAAAAUAAAAAAAGAUCAUCUCAAUCGGGCGUCAAGUUAUGACCUCCGGAAGUUUGUCCAGCGACUCGGCUUUCUGAUGUAGCAAAUCUUCUUCUUGGAUCAUAAUGGCUCUAUAUAAAAGCUUUAAAAGCACUAGAAAGAACUAGGGCUAAAAAUGGAUCAGAUAUUGAUAUAUCCAUAUUUGUAUCCAUAUUUUUCAAUGAAUAUAGAUGCGGAUACGGAUAUUAAAUGGACAUCAAAAUUAAUAUCCAUAUUUAUUCUAAACAGAUACAGAUACGAAUCAGAUAUUAAGCAUAUCCAUAUUUGUUAUAACCGAAUGCGGAUACGAAUCGGAUAUUAGACAUAUUCAUAUUUUCUUAUCCAAAUACGGAUAUAAAUCGGAUACCUUUUUAGAUAUCAAUCAAAUUUGAACAAAAUUCAAUGAUGGAAACCAGCAAUAAAGACAUGACCAUACAAGAAAGAUUCAAUUAAAAAAAUAUAAUAUUAACAAGCAUUUAUCAAUAACAAAAACUAAGAAUUUUAUAAAGGAUAUACCACUCAAGGUUGCUUAUCACCGAAGUAGGCGGAAUCUAUGGUGCCUCCAAGGCAUCUCACGGUUGUCGCUGAGUGAAAACUAUGAACUGAAUGGGAUCUUCGAAACCCUAGUCGUUUGAAGACGACGAAGAGAAAAGAGGGAUGAAAUGGACAAACAAGAGGUUUGAGCCUUUCAGACAUGCGGGGUGAUUCAAAGGAUUUUAUUCAAUAGGGUAUUCUGUAUACACUAUUCGGGUUGUUGUCUUAACUAACGGUCAUCCGAUAUCUGGAUUUCUUUUAGUUUAGGUUUAAUUAAUCACUUAAUUGAUUUUCUGAUUUAACUUAACUUAAACUUCUUCUUUGCUCUUACUCGAGCUAUACUGAUAUCCGGAUCCGGAUUCGAAUCCCGAAAAAUCAGGCGUAUCUGGAUCCGUAUUCAUAUCCGAAAGAUUUUUGAACUGACUAUCCGAAUUCGAUUGGACUAAAAAAAUAGUAUCCGAAUCCGACUCGAAUUGGAUACGAAAAUGGAUACGGUAGGAUAU